AUAAUAAAUGAUAUGAAUCAAUUGGUCUGGUUUGGUCUAAUAAAGCAGACUGGUUCAAGUAAAGAAAGAGGGCACCGGUUUGGUUCAGGGAAACAAAAAACAGGGAACAUGAGCCGGUUUAGUGUAGAGGCCUCACUCAAUCAUGUUAGGUUCAAGCAAAAAAAGAUAAAAUUAUUUGCAGGACUUGAGCCAGUUCAGGAUGGAACUCAUACUCAACAAUUCGGUUCAGUUCAACUAAAGGAAAAGAACCAGUGGAGCCCACACCCAACAACAUUGAAGCUUGUGUUGCCAUGUGGCAAAUUUUUUGAGAAAUAAUGUUAAGUAAUAGAUAAUAGAUAAUAGAUAAUAGAUAGAUAAUAGAUAAUAGAUAAUAGAUAAUAGAUAAUAGAUAUUCUUAUUACGAAACAUAAGUAAAUUAGGUCCUCUUCCUGAGGGGGAGGGGGGGGAGGGUUAAAAAAUUCACUGAUUUUAUAUUUUUAUAAAAUUGGACCGUACUUUUUAAAUUUGCAUAUUAGAAAUGAAUUUUAAACAAGUGACCAAAAGGUCAAUUUGCAAAUUACAAUUUGUAUGUACUUUUUGUUUAAAAGCCAUGCUUUUAUCCAAUAAAAAAAUUAAAGAGUAAAAGAUAAUAAAUAAAAUUAAAAUAAUACAAUUACCUCUCAAAUAGUGCGAUACAAAUAUAAUAUCGUGCAACACUAAUACAAAACAAAUUUUAACGUUUUAAUGUUUUAACGUUUAGAUGAGCAAAAUUAAAAUAAUAUUGCACCUUUUAAUGUUUGAAAAUUUUAACAUUUCAAAUUUUUAUUAAAAAUGAUCCAAAUAUUGCACCUUUAACCGAAUGUUGUACAAUUUCAGUAUAUGUUGCACAAAUUUGAAAAUAUUGUUGUACAAUUUUAGAAUUAAAAAUGUCAAGUUAUAAUUAUAUAAACUUUUUUUUUCGAGAGACGAGAAUUCUUAUUAAGCACAAAAAUAAAAAAAUAAAUAUAAUCAACAAAGAAGAAUAGUGUAAUAUGGUCUAUACUUUUGCAAUAUAUUCUCAAAUCUCAUUAUUUUUAUUAAUAGUGCAACAUGUUUUUAAAAAUUAUAGUAUGUGAAGGUCUCCAUAAGCACCCGUUUUCUAUACAUGAAGGCAUCGACAAGCGUACCCUACCUACAUUUAUAAGUAGAAGGGUAUUUUGGUUGGGUUAAAAAAAAUAUUGGUCGAAUUAGUAAAAAUAAAAAAAUGGCCUAUUUUUACAAAAUUGCAAAACUAAGAGAUUUUUUGUACAAUAUGGCCAAAAAAGCUUUAAUUUGUCCAGAUAAAUUUGUUUGGGUAUAGAACCCUAAAUUGUCCAUUUGAGAUUGUAGGAUCUGUCACCACAUAGGCACCUGAUCUCACAUCUCAAGAUUUCCUAUUUAAUUAGAACGGAUGUUGAUAUUGGACUCUCUUCAACACUUAGUGGGUCCACACAUUUUUGGACCAAUAAUAAAAAAAAAUUAAUAUAUAUAUUAAGAAGAUUACAAGAAAAACUUGAAAUAGCUUUUUUAUAAUUUUUAGUUUAUGAACUUAAUUUCAAAUUAUUUUUUAAAUUUUUAAUUUUCAAAUAAAAUGGCUUUUUUUGGAUAAACCAAACAAGGGUUUAGACAACCUUGGUGGGUUUUUAGUAUUAAUAUAAAGUAAAUUUGUCCAAAUAAAAUAAUUAAUAAUCUAAAAAAUGAUAAACUUAAAGAGUUUGAAAAUUAAUUUGACAUUAAAUUCAGAAACUAAAAAUUUAUUUAAGAAACUAUUUUAUUUUUUUUUAUUUUUUUCUUGUAUUUUUGUAGUAUGUACUUGAUUUUGCCUUAAGAUGUGGGAUUCGUCACCCUUGCGGCAACAUAUUUUCUAAUCCUCAAAUGGAUAAUUUGGAGUUCCAUCCCCAAACAAUUUUGGUCCAAUUUGUCCCUUUUGUGGUUUACCACACUAUUACUUUGUCGUCUUGUAAUUCAAAAAUUAUAUUUAACUACUCUAUAAUUUUUUUUAAAAAAAAUACUAUUAGAAUCUAUUGUUAAACAUAAUAAUAGUAAAGCAACAAAUUUGGUUAAUCAUAGGACAGUACAAUAUAAAAUGUUAUCAAUUUAUAAUUUAUAUUUUAUCAUCUUGUGCUUUGUAAAAAAAUGUACUUUCUUCUAUUUAAUGAGAGAUGCUUACUAUGUAAUUUUUGAACUAUAGAAUGACAAAAUUUGUUGCUUUACUACGAUAAACUUCAAUAUGCCUCUUUUUAGUCUAUCACGGUUUUAUUUUAUCAUCUUGUGCUUUGUAAAAAAAUGUACUUUCUUCUAUUUAAUGAGAGAUGCUUACUAUGUAAUUUUUGAACUAUAGAAUGACAAAAUAAAACCGUGAUAGACUAAAAAGAGGCAUAUUGAAGUUUAUCAAAAAAAAAAAAAAAUAUUUAGGUGGAGUAGAAUUAAUUAUAAUAUUUGUUGUAUUCAAUACUCAAAACACUCCUGUAAAUAUAAACAUUGUCUUUAAAAAUACAAUAAAAAUACUCAAAUACUAUAAUAUUACAGAGUUUCCAAACAGGCCCUUAUGGUUCAGUUUGGUUUGCUGGUGCAUCAUAAUUUUUGCUCAGCACUAAUUGGGUAUUAAAUGUGUUGGCCCAAAACUGGGCUCAAUUGGCCCAAUUCAACACUUUUUGAAUCUUUUUAUUGUUGUUUAGGCAAAUAUGCAUUGAGACACUCAAGACUAUAUGAAAACUAAAAGAGGUACCUCAACUUUGAACUUUUUUUUUUUCAUUGACACUACUCAAACUUUUUGUUUGUUUAAGUUAAGUUCUUCUAGUGAGUUAAGUUAAAAAAGACUCAUUAAAAUUAAUAGCUCUAUUAAUUCUUGGGUGUUAAACUUUUAACUUGCUAAAAUUUGAUUAAAGCCACUAAAUUUGAUGGAGUUGAUAAAUAUAUUUUAAGAUCAAAAUGUAAUAUGACAGACGUUGUUUAGACCUUGUAACGAUUAAAGAUUAACUUUUGUGUAAAGUAAGCAUAGCAUUUUGAAAAUCUAUUAUUACCUAGGGAUCAAAUAGAAAAUCAACAGUUAAAAAAUAUUCAUUAUUUGAUUUAUAGAAUUCGAUAUUCAAAUUUUAUAAUUUUUCAUUUAUAGGCACUUUGAAUGUCAUCGAAUUUAUGUAAUUAGUUAGAGUUUGAUUCUUAUAUAUCAUUAUAAAGUUUUAAGUAUGUGAUAUAUGAGAUGUACUUCAGUAUCAGAUUUUGGCAAUAAUUUCUCAUAGUAGACGAGGUUUUCUGUGACACCCCCAAGAUUUGGUAUAGAUCUAAAUAUAAAAUAUAAUAUGAUUAAAUCUCUUAAUCAGGUUAUAAUAUUUUGGGCAGUGGUUAAACCCAAGAAGUUGAAAGGGUUAAACGUGCUAAGGUUAGAGUAGUUUUAGGAUGGACUAUUCUCCUGAGAAGCGAGACGUUACUGACUCACUCUUGGUAUUAGAGCCCAAUCAUCAGUCGAAAGUGUGAGAUGAGUCUCGGCUAAGUUAGGGUAAUACAACGGAUAAAUCGUGACUUUCUUGCUGAUGGCUGUUGUGGGUGGAGCACGUAUGACUUCCCACAAAAUUGGGUAAGGCUAGUGAGAUGAGUCUCCUAUCGUCUCACCCUAGAAUUUGGUUUAGUCCUAAAUAUAAAGUAUAAGGAAAAUUGCCUAUACACUUAUGAAAACUUCGAAAAUAUUUCAUUUGCCCUUAUUUUUUUCUUUUCAAUAUACUCCUCAUAUGUUACUCCGUUAUUCCAAAAUACCCCUUCAAUUACCACUCGUUAAGUUAACUUUGAUUAAACAUAAGUUAAACAUCUACCAGAAUUUUAAAAAAUCAAAAUACCUUUUUUGCCCUUAAUUUAAAGGCAAAUAAGAACGGUUGGUGAUGGUAGAAGGGUAUAUUUGAAAAUACCAAAAAUUAAAAUAACUUUUUGUGCCCCUAACUUAAGGACAAAUAAAAAAAACUAGUGAUGAUAGAAGGAUUUAUUUGAAAGGACAAAAUAGUAAUUUUAUAGAAAUAACAGCUAUUGCUAACAGUUCAUUAACAUAAUUUAACUAUAGGGAUAUAUUUAAAAUAUAUUGUAAAACUGGUAUUUUCAAUAUUAGCCUUCUAAGAGUGGUCAAUAAGAAAGUCGAAAACUUUUCAGAAAUAUAUAAGCAAUUGCUCCUAAAGUAUAAUAAGACUAAAUCUUUUAAUUUGACUAUAGUAUUUUGGAUAGUUGCUAUGCUCAAGAGGUUAAGAGGAUUAAACAUGUUUGUGCUAGAGCCGUUUUUAGAAUAUGUGACCUCCUAAAAAGUGAGAUAUCAUAUUUUUAUUCAUUUUUUAGAGGGUGUAUAUCUUGCACUCCAAAAUUUAAGAAUUAAUAGAACUCUCUUAGAUUUUAGUUAAAAAGAUUAAAAAUUGAUCAAAUUAGUGAAAAAAUAUAGGCCCUAAGAACUAUAUAUAUGAGUGUACGUUUAUACCAACCCUACGGUGUAUGGGUAGGAUUGUUCUUUUUGUUUUGUUUUGUUUUGUUUUAUUUUUAUGUGCGUCGAACAUGGAUGUGUUAGGCUUACAUGAUAAGGGCAAGGGAAUACCUACCUAAGGGAAUUUAGUACUGUUUAGUCUAUUAUCGGUCAAACCAACGAAAAUGAUUUAUAUUGAUUUGUUUGCUUGUUUCAUGUAUAAAAAGGAAAAUGCUUUGGGUGCUAAAAUAAUUUUGUUUUGAGAAAGAGAGGUAGCAAGUUAUCCGUUUUAUUUAUUUUUUUAGAAUUAAACUCGGUUAAAAGUAUAAAGCUUAUAUUUCGAAUUUGAGAAGCAGUUACAAAUGUGAAGCAAUUAAAUUUCAACAUUUUGAAAUUUAAAACUCAAAAUUUUGUAAUAUAAAUUUUAGGGUUAAUUGCAUACAGCUCCUUAUAAACAUAUCAAAUAGCAGAUAUAUUCCUAUAAAGUUUAAGUUUUUAUUUUUUGCAGAAGUCCUACCGUUUUCAAAUAUAUCCCUACUGAUAGAAUCCAUUAGAAAAAUAUAGUCAACCAUGAGUAAAAUUACUUAAUCCUGGUUAGUAAAUGAGUUAAACUGACCUUUUAACCCUCUAAUAUUAUUAGGUAAAAUAUUUUUUUGGUAGGACAUUUCUGUACAAUUUUAACAGCUGAAGCUUUUGGAGGGAUAUAUUUGUAAGGGCAAAAAUGUUAUUGCAGUUAACUAUUGUUAAAAAAAAGUAGUGCUCUGACGGUAAUUAAUCGAAUGGAUAAAUAUGAGUAUCACUGAACUUUUACAGGGAUAAAAAUAAAAACUUGAACAUUGUAAAGAUAUAUUUACUAUCUGAUAUAUUUACAGAGAGUUGUAUGCAAUUAACCCUAAAUUUUUAAUCUUGUUUAAAAUUUUAAAUAUAGCGUACUCGACCUUGGAGGCAGGGUUGCAAUGUUAGUAGAUGGUCAGCUCGUUUAGCAAGUGCCGGACGGAGUUGGAGUCGUUUUGGCACGUAGUGGAUAUAAAAAGGACAUGAAAAUCGAGAAUCAACUCAAUUGUAUUUUUAGUACACUUCUAGACUCCCGGAAGUAGUUUAGGGCGCUCACAAGUUACAAGUUGAGGAAUGGAAGUUUAGACCGUACUUGAGGAUGCCCUAUUCUAGUGAGGAUCCAGAGGUGUCAGGCCUUGAUGUGGGCGCCCGAAUUUUGGUAUUGUAGUAGUUUGAAAAGUAAGUGAGAUUGAUUUGACUUGUAUCAAGGUGCAUUUGGGUGUAAGGUGACUCAGCAAGAUUUCGGGUGCAGGUUCUGGGUGCUUGAAUUGGUUCAGGCAUAGAUAUGACGGAAGAGGAGCCGUCGAAUGCAGUAAGAGAGCACUCGAAAGAGGAAGAUUAAGAGGUUUCGAAUGCCUGAAUGAUGGUUCUGGGUGCCCAAAACUCGACAUUUUAGCUGAAGUUAGAUUUAAAGAGCCUUUUUACAUUGUUACAUUAUAUUAGUUGAUAGUGGCCUUCAUGCUUAUCUUUUUCUUCUUUGUACAUUCUAUAGAGAGAGGAAGAGAGGAGAAGAGAGUGUGGGAGAUCUAAGGAAAUGAUUCAGGAUACGCGCGCAUGAUUUUUCUAUCGCCUUUUGAGGUUGGUAUUAAAAUAUAUUAUUACAUUGAUUGGGAUUUUUAAUGUGCAAUUUACAGUACUUUUUAGGAGUAUAAUUUUUUUAUGGGAUUUUUGUGAGAUUUGGAUUUAGUAGUGAAAUUUAUGCAUGGUUUAGGAGCCAAAUUUCCUGGUUCGAUUCCCUACGGCUUAGGUGCCGUACCAUUGAGGACCUACAGCGGAGUUUGUGUCCUCCCAUCUUCCUUUCCCAUUUUCGGUAUUGGCGAUUUAGGUGGGUUCUAUAUUGCCAAAAGCGGCGUACUACUUCCUAUAUUUUUUUGUAUGUAUUAUUAUUAUCCUACCUACGGUGUAGUGAUAUUAGCAGCAUGUGAUAACUACUUCACAUUUAUUUGCAUAUGAGUUGAUGAUUGAGCAUAUAGGGAGUAGAAUCGAAUUACUAUAGACAUAUUAAUCGUGGAUUUUGUAAUAUUAAACUAUCAAAAAUGCUAUGAAGGUUAUCAGACGGUAAAGUAGUGGAUAGGGAGAGGUGUUUGCUAGUUUGACAUGCUAGGCUUUUGUGAUGUCAUAUGAUUGUGCCGAAGGCACUUGGACAGUGCAUAGUGAUCUCUUUGAUCAUCGUAUUUGACUAUAACUUGCAGAGUCACAUUGAGCUUGAUAAUGUCAAUGUGAGCUUGAUAAUGUCAAUGUGCUAUAAUACUCGGUGGGUGUCACUCUUCUCGAGUGCUACUCCAGAGGCUAGCUAAUGAUAUAGUAAAGAUAGUAGCCUCUGUGUUGACGGCGCAUCUGCGAGGAGUAUGGUCUGGAUAGUAGGCAAGUGCUAGCUUGACCGCACUGCUGAGUCGGUUGUCAUAAUUAGGUGAUGCAAUAUUUUUUUAUAUUAGUAUUAUAUUUGAUGCAUGUAUUAGCCAUCUGCAGUAUUGUUUCCUUUUCUAUUUAAGAGGAAUGCUAGGCUUAGUUGUUAUUCAGUGCAGUGCAGUACCUCAUGUUAUUAUGGUUCGAUUAUUUUUCUAUCUUACCUUUAGCAAAUUAUUUGUUAUUCAGUGUAGUACCUGUUAUUAUGGUCCUAUUGUGCUUUGCUUUUUACAGCUCUCAAUGCUGAUAUCGAAUCGAGAUAAGGGGAUCACGCAAUAGUUAGCAUCUCUUAUCCAAUUUUUGAGUGAUAGGAAAAAACCACCGGCUAGUUCGCUUUUGGAUAUAGCACUAUACGUCAGGACUGGCGAGGCCAAGGCCCUUUACUUGUAUUUAUAUUUUGAGAGUUAUAUUCAUAUGGAAUUAUGCACAGUAUUACCCACUUGGUAUAGUUAGCAUGCCCAAGGGCUUUUGCUAUGGACUCGGAGUGUGACAUUAAAUUUUAAAUUAAAAUUAUAAAUUUUAAAUAUUAAAAUUUAAAAUUAAAAUUCUAAAUAUUAAAUAUUAAAAUUUUAAAUUCUAAAUUUUUAAAUUUAAAUCUAAAUUGUAAAUUCAAAUAUUGAGUUUUAAAUUUUGGUUGAGAUUUUAUAUUUUAAAUUUUAAAAUUUUAAAGUAAAAUUUAGAUGUUAAGUUAAAAUUUUAAAAUAAAUUUAGCAAAAAAACUACUAUUUACAAAUAACAAAAAGUUUUGCCCAACAGUUUUUUAAAUCACUUCUUAAAAAAAUCACUUUUCUACUUAACCAUAAACUCUACCACAUUUAAUCAAAAUCAAUUCUCUGAAUCAAAAUUAAUUUUAUGGAAAUUACUUUCUCAGAAUCUAGGCUAAAUAGGAUCUCCCUUUUGGAAUUAUUAUACACUGCUUGAUUCUUUGAAAGUAUGUGGGAAAAAUUUUUUCAAGGAAAAAAAGUUGUUCAUAUUUAGUUUUUUCUCUAUUUAGUUCCAAUAUAAUUAGUUUUUUGGAAAGCUUCUUUCCAAAUUUUAUAAAAAAACUAGCAUUUUUAUUUUUUAAAAAAAUUCAAAAAAUGAAAGUAUAAAUUUGACAUAAAAUUAGAAAAAUAAAUUUUGAAACAAACUUCUUUUUGGAAACCAAAUAAAAAAAAAAGAAAAAAUUCAUAAAAUUUUUUUGCACGAAAAUUUUUUUUCCACACUUUUUGGAUGAACCAAACACUCCUACAAGAAACUCAUGGUUUUUUGCCCUUUUGGAGUAAAAAGUAAUAGACAAAAGUUGAGGGGCUAAUGUUGCAAUUUACCCAAUUGUAAAGCGAACUUUUCCCUUCCGAGUUCCGACACUGUUCGCAAACCCUCGCCCUGGCUUUUCGAAGUCGAGAGAGAGAGCUCCUACUCCCCAACAAUGGAGCUCACCAAAACCCUAACCCUAACUCUCCGCAUCUCCCCCUCUCUUCACUGAGGCCCCCUAUUCCGCUUUUCCCCUCUUCCUAGCACCAGAGUAUAAGGCGACGAGGGGAGAGGAGGAAGGGGGAGGGGGCGCGGAGAUGGAGAACCACAAGAAGUCUCUGCUGAGGGUCCGGGUCCGGGUCACGGCGCGGAAGCGGGCGCGGGAGUCGCCCUCCUCCGGCGAGGGCUCCGGCCGGAAGAUGCGGGCGCGGGUGUGUGCUAACUCGGUGAGGAAGCUCGCGUGCCGCGAGAUCGGCGGCCUCCCUCGCAUGGCCCGCGUCGCCUCCUCCAGCGCCCCCGAGAAGUUCCGCAACAUCCAGCUCCAGGUCCGUGCUCCCUCACCCGUAAUUUGAGUUCCUGUUCCUUCGCUUUCUUGUUGUUUGGUUGGAAUCGUCGAAGAUCGUGCGCUCGGGGCUCGGAAUUCGUUAGGAUUUGGUGACUAUGAUCGUUGUGAAACUCUUAGUUCUGCGAAGUUGGAAGCUUUUUUGUAGAUCAGCGGCCAAAAUGGUUUUUGUGAAGAUUGGUAUCUAGGGUUUACGAUUAUGUUUAAUUUUGACUCUUGGAUUUGGCUUGUUCGUUAGGAGAUGUGGCAGUAAUAGAUGAUUGGAUGAUGUAUAGCGAAAUGAAUGGUUGUUAGGGUUAAGUUUGGUGUUUGAACUGUAUAUUGCUUUGGAGCUGUUGCGAACAAACUACUUUGGUGGAUUGGUGAUAGAAAGUUAGGGAUUGGACAGGAAAAGAAACAUGCUUCUUGUCACGUCAAUCCAGAGGCAAGCAGAGCAACAUGCUUCUCUACAUUUUAAUUUAUCAUCCCUUAAGUUCUAAGAAGUAGCAUUCCUUAUAGAUGAAACAUGUUUAUUUCUGGCAAAUGUUGCUUUUUAAUAAAGUAUUUUCCUUGAUUUUGAAACUCCAGAUUUUGAAGAUGAUGACCAAGAAAAAUUGACCAUGGCAGUAAAAUGAAAAAAAAGAUAUGAUUGUGAUAAUUUCCUGGUAGUGCAACGGAAUUUAUGAAUUACCAUGAUUCAUUCAAAAUACUUCUGGGUAUCCUUCUAUGAUUUGUGAGGCUACCAUGUGAGAUAAGGAAUUGGUGAUGAGGUUUUAUGAUAACAACAAUUUUGGGGAUAAAAAACAGAGCUUAUGUUGAUGAUAGAAAUAUUUCUAAGUUCGCCUUAGAUUGCUUAUAUUGAUCAGCAUUAUUAGACACCCUGUUAAUUUUGAGGAUUAUACUCUUAGUAGUAUUAAAUAAAGAUAGGUUACUUCGAUAAUUGCUUUUAGACAGGUUUUAAUGAAGACUGAUGCCUUGUUUGGUUAAGCAUACAUAUUCCUUGUUUUUUUUUCCCUUUAAACCCAAAUUUUAUGCAAUUGGAUGCUAUGAGCUGAUGCAUUUGCAAGUUGCAAGCAAUAACAAGAAUAGAGAAGUCCUUCCCAAGGCGAAUUAAAUUGCAUAGAAUUUGAGAUUUACAAAAUAGAGAAAAAUGUCAGGGUAGCCAAAGGAAGCCUAAUGGCUAAUGCCUCCAUUAUAAUGAUGUGGAGAGUUGCUCUUCUUAUUUAUCAUCGAUUUAUGCUCAGUAUCUGUGGAUAAGGAUAACUGUCGAACUUAGUAUAUUAUGAUUGGCUGCUUCUAGGCAAACGUCCUUAUUGCCUUUAAAAAAGAAUUGCUUAUUAGAUGGAAUGGAUGUCUAACUUACAUUUCUCUGAGCCACCGUUUGGUUGGGGGUUAAGGGGUGGAAUAACCCCUUAACCCCCAAUUUAUACCCAAACACCACUCUUAAGGGGUGGGGUUUACUAACCCCACCCCAAACCGGGUUAGUGGCGUUUACUAACCCCACUCCCCCUCCCAACUUUAACCCCGCACGCAUUCCGAGCCCUCACCUUUUUCUUCUUUAUCAAUCAUUAACCCCACUCCCCCUCCCAACUUUAACCCCGCACGCAUCCCGAGCCCUCACCUUUUUCUUCUUUAUCAAUCAUUAUCUUCUUAUCCCACCUACUCCAACCAAACACUUUUUUUCACUAUCCUAGACUAACUCCAACCUCCAACCAAACACAAAAAAAUUUUAACACCAUUUUAACCCUGAACUUAACCCUAUCCCUGGAAUAGCUACUUUUUCUUAACCCCGAACCAAACGGUGGCUGAGUGUUUUCUCUGGAAUUGAUGCUGCUAUCCACAUCCCUUGUUUAUCUCAAUUCCUAGUUUCAGUUUGAUUACCUCUAGUUAAAGUUCAAUUUUGAAGUGCUUUAUCCAAAAAAUUAAAUUUUAUUACGGAUGAAUUCAGUUUAUUUUUCUGGGCAGUUACACUUUUCGGAGUAAUUUUAAAUAUAGGUUUGUGGAAGUAAUAUGUGCAUGCAUGUAUAUGUUCAUGCAUUGCAUCUGAAUUACAGCAUGGGCGCAGUCUCUCCUAUAAAAUCGAUUAUGCUUUUGUCAUUCAUAUGUCCUUCAUCAUUAUUGUAACCUAUCUUUUAUGAUACAGUCCUGAUUUCAGUUGUGUUUCAUAAAUGUUUUUAAUAUGAUUUAUGCAUUAUUUAAUGCAGGAGGAAUUCGACACGUAUGAUGAUAAUAUCCAUUGGUUUCUCAAAUUACAAUUUCUGAAAAAGAGGUCCAAGAUCAUUGAGAUUGUUGCAGCAAAGGAUGUUAUAUUUGCUUUAGCACAAUCUGGUCUCUGUGCUGCUUUUAGCCGGAGUAAGUCUGAUGCUUCCCUAGUUUCCUGUUGACUCUUUUGUUUAUUCUAGUUCUAAUUCUGAUUUUUUUCUUUUUGUUGAUAGCAACAAAUAAGCGUAUAUGCUUCUUGAACAUAAGCCCCGAUGAAGUGAUUAGGAGCUUAUUUUAUAAUAAGAACAAUGACUCACUCAUCACAGUUUCUGUUUACGCAUCAGACCAUUUCAGUUCCUUGAAAUGCCGGACCACUCCAAUAGAGUAAGAAACUUACUUUCAUGUGAAUGCUCUAGUUUUCAAAUAACUUCAAUUCUCCUCGUGUAUAGUUCACGCGUUAUGCACAUAUGUGCACAUACAUUGAUGUACACAUUGUGUGUGUUAAGGUUCUGAUAAGUAUUAAAAACUGAAGAUAAAUGCAGAUUUUUUUUCUCAACUUAACUAUUAGCUUAUAGUUGGUGAUUUUAGGAUUAAACCUUUCAUGGUUUUCUUGGUUACUUGUAGAAGAUGUACUGUGACAAAUGUUUCUAUAUUGCUGAUACCAAAAUCUACAAACAAAGGCCUCGUUAGGCAUUGUUGCCAUUUUUGCUUUUUUAAAAGAAUUUCGAUACAAAAUAGAGUGGGAGGGGAUGAUGGCUUGCUUGCAACCAUAACAUUCAAGUAUUUGUUUGGCAACAAAGAGGAAAAAAAAUUGGAAGCAACUUUUUUUUGUUUUCAGUUUCUUUCUUCUUUUUUUUCGAACAAGUCGUCAUUCAUCACUUGGCCGUGGUACAACAACAUAAAUUCCUUCUGCCAGUGUAGCAAAAUUAUAUAAAAUUAGUGUGUAAAAAAACAAAAAAAAAAAGGGUCAGAAAUGCCAAAUGAGACUUGCUAUCUAAUUCUGUUCCAAGCAGUUCUAGUAAUGACUUAUUUUUGGACUCUGGCAGAUACAUCAGAAGAAACCAGCUAGAUGCUGGUUAUCCUCUUUUUGAGACCGAAUCAUUAAAAUGGCCUGGUUUUGUUGAGUUUGAUGAUGUCAAUGGCAAAGUUCUUACAUAUUCAGCCCUGGAUGGGUAAGUGACCCUCUUGAUGCUUUUCUCUUUACAAACCCUAAUCCAUCUGAUUUAUUUUUUUGCUUACAGUACUUACAAAUUGUUUGGCAUGGUUACAGUACUUACAAAGUGUUUGACCUGAAGAACUAUAACUUCUUGUACUCCAUAUCGGAUAAGAAUAUUCAGGAGAUCAAAAUAAGGUUUGGUUCCCUUCUUCAUUAAACAUGCAUGUAGAUUAUUUUAUGCAUCUGAAUCUUUUUGUAAUCUGAUAUUUGAAAAUCAUGCAUUUGAACAGCCCAGGCAUCAUGCUGUUAAUAUAUCAGAGAACUCCUGGUUAUGUUCCACUCACAAUAUUAUCAAUUGAAGAUGGAACAGUGUUGAAAUCUUUCAAUCACUUACUACACCGCAACAAGAAAAUUGAUUUCAUCGAGCAGUUCAACGAGAAGCUACUGGUCAAGCAAGAGAAUGAGAACCUCCAGAUUCUUGACGUAGGCUGUUAAUCUUUAUCUUUCUUGUUUUUGAUUUUUUUUUCCUUUUUAAUUUUAAGAAGCAUAUUAUAAUUCUUGGAGCAGGUGAGGAACUCGGAGCUGAUAGAAGUCAGUAGGACUGAUUUCAUGACCCCUUCUGCAUUCAUUUUCCUAUAUGAGAACCACCUUUUCUUAACAUUCCGGAACAGGACUGUCGCAGUUUGGAAUUUCCGGGGUGAGCCAGUCACCUCCUUUGAAGACCACCUGCUCUGGCAUCCUGAUUGUAACACUAAUAACAUUUACAUCACUAGCGACCAGGACCUGAUAAUCUCGUACUGCAAGGCUGAAAGUGAAGACGAGGGAGAAGGUAUUUAAUUUCCUUCCAUACUGAAAAAUUUUGCUGUUACUCUGCGCCUGUUUGGCUUGGCUUUUGGUGAACUUCCCUACUUUAAAAAAGCAAUCGUUUCGUGUUUGGCAAACAAAAACCAUGGACCAUCUUGUUUUGCCCGAAGCUAAAUUACGUGCUUGAAUACCAAAAGUAGAAGAUCUAAUUUGAAUCUUCUGUUUUUUCAAAUAGCUUUACCAACUGUUCUGCAGAAUCUCAGGACGCGCUAGCAGGCCAUUUUUUAAGCAAAAACAUUUGAUGUUAUGAUCUAAAAAGAAACCUUCACAGCUUCUCCUAUAGGAUCUAUCAACAUGAGCGACAUCCUCAGCGGGAAGUGUGUCGCGAAGAUCUGUCCCCGUGAUCCCUCUCUACAGAUUGCCCCUCGCAAGCGGGGCGACCCGAGCCGUUCUACCAUCAGGAGCACUAUAAGGGAAGCUCUUGAAGAUGUAACUGCACUCUUCUAUGACGAGGAUCGGAACGAAAUCUAUACGGGGAACAAGCAAGGCCUGAUCCAUGUUUGGUCAAAUUAGUAGCUAUACCUAAUAGCCGUCUGUAUAAUGUAUCUCAUUGCCAAACAUCAGCUGCAUCCCACCAUCUCCAUGUAUCAUGCUCUGCUUUAGAGCCUCUUUGUAGCAUGGGUUUCAGUUUCAAAACCUACCAUCCCGUGUUACCCUGCGGUGUUUCUAGGUGUAUUUUGUGUCAUAUCUAUGAUUAUAUCAGUAUGUAGCAACUGCAUCUUUGUUUUAGGAGAAAAGCUCUUUCUUUCCGGUUUUUUCUGUUGAUCUUUUUGUGGCAGUGUGUUUUCUCAUGGAACACAUUAUCUGUGGGAAUGAUUAGCAUCAAUUGCUAAUGUUGUUUUCUGAGUUUGAUUCUGAUUUCAUUUUCGAUCUUUUGGUCUCGACUCUAACAUUUUUGUGAGUAAAGAUUGUUUUGCAUAACAAUUAAAUUAACUUUUGCCUGUAUUUUUUUUUUUUUUUUGGUUGUUUCAGACGUUUCGAAUAGAAGCUAUAGGAAAUAAGCUAGAUUGUUGAAAUUUGAAACACUGAACUACUGGAGACUAAAUUUAAUCACGAUCAAUCUUCUGUGGUCUAAAGAGUAUCACUGCAACCAAAAUUAAUGUUAAACUUCAAAGGUCAAAUUCGGCAACUAAAUGCAAGAUUAUCACAAGAAAUGAUGAUUUCUGCGUUUUGCAUAGUUUCAACUAAGACGUUGCGGUUGAGGACGGUUGUGUUAUUUGAUAAUUUUUUAUCAUUAAAAUUUGAAAAUCUGAGAGGAAAAUUAAAAUUCUGAGUGAAACUUACAGAUAUCAGAUUGUUAAUAUUGGAACACUGGAAACUAAUCUGGAUCAUGAUUCUUCAUUCCUUCAACUAUUAUCGAGACCAAAAUUGCGGAACCGAAGUUGGCAUCAAAACUCUAAUACAGGACGAGAUUUCCAAGCAACUGCAAGAUUAUUUACAAGAAUUGGCCCUGCUCAGUUGAAUGCCCCCGAUUCAGGAGCGGGGUCAGAGGAGAACUCUGAUUUUUUAGGCUCCCUCUCUGCAGUCUGACUCGGCUGUACAGUUUGGCGCCGUGCAGCUCCGUCCGCAGGGCCGUCUUGGUCGCCGGGCCCGCAGUCGGCCCCAAGAUCCUCCUCUGUUUUGCUGCUGUCAUCUUCUGCCGCUGCUGCGUUGGCAACGGAAGCGGCGAACCCAGACCACGCCUGCUCGAGCCUGGCUAGAGCCUGCACCAGCUCGUCCGACCCCCUGCCCGUCAGCUCCUUCAUCUGCGCCUCGAAUCCCCGCAAUUUCCGAGCCAGCUCCGCCACCGGCCCCGCGGUCUCUGUCACGGCCUCGUCCAGCUCCCACAGCUCCCACACAUCUUCCGCAUCAGAAGCCGGGCCGAGGAGUUUGUCGAGCCGUUUGAAGAAGAUCCAAGAAGAUAACCCCGCGGCCUUUUCUCUUUCGUACCUGGUUUUCACCUUUCUGAUCCGAUUCUUGCAGCUUUCGACGGUCCAGCGCCCCUGGUCGCGGCUGUUGACGGCAGCGGCGAUCUCCCACCAAUCUUCCUCGCUGAGAUUGCCACGGUCGCGCUGCUCGUACUUAUCGGCCCACGCUUUGAUCACGGCCCGUGUCGCGCCAACGCUGGCGCUGCGGAAACAGCGCCGGGCUGAGGACAAGGGCUUGUACUUCUUGCCAGAGACCCGAUCAUCCUUCGCCAUGAGAGUGAGGAAGGGGUGUUGGUAAACAGAGAGAGAGAGAGAGAGAGAGAGAGAGAGAGAGACAGAGAGAGAGUGAGUAACUGCUUGAAUUUGAAGCGUUUCGCGGUGGUUUUGUAUGGGGGGAAAUUGCACCGCUAGUCCCUGAACUUUUUAUCUCUGAUGUUGUUUUGGUCCUCAAACUUCUGAGUUAGAUGUUAGUGGUCCCUAAACUUUUUUUAAAGUUUGAUUUUAACGCUUGAAUGUAUUUGUAACUAGAGAAUAAAUUAUUACCUGUGCCUAGUGCAUGCUUAUUUAUGUAUAUUAUAUAUCGUAUAUUACAAUCCCACUGUCUAUUGAGUUUUUUUUUUUUUUUUUGCUAUGUAAAAAUUGGGCAUCUAAAUUUAAAGUAUGAGAUAAAUGAAGAAAAAGAUAAAUUUGUAAUUUAUGAACAAAAAGUUAAGAGCAAUACUAUCAGGACACUCCAAACACCAUACAUCUACUUCAUCCAAGAGUUAUUAUUUCUUACUUAUCACAUCAAUUAAUUUUUUUUUUUUUGAGAGAUAGGUAGUACGCUACCCGCUUCGUUUAUUUCAUUUAGACAUAAACUUAGCUAGAAAUGUGAAUCAACUAGGAUUCGAACUUGGGUCUCGAGCACCAACCACCAAGCACUUUGCCACUUGCUCUAAGGACGGUCGGUAUCACAUCAAUUAUUAUUAUUAAUUAUUAUUAUUAUUAUUAUUAUUUACUAAAUUAUUUGGACUUUUAUGAACUUUAGCCUCUAGGAUAGAAAGUGUAAGAUCUACACCUAUUGUCACGUUCGAGUCCAACCAAAUUGACUUGCUGGGUAUAUGUAACAGACUUGUCAAACGAGCAAGAUUCCUUUACCGGCACGAGACGUAAAUAUAUAACAACCUGUACAAUGCAUAAAUGAUAUGGGUACAAUAGAGUAUUGGAGUAAAUUAAUUACUUCUAAAUUAAAAGCAUUACAGUGACUUCUUUAAAGUUUACAAUAUAUUAUUUUUCAAAAUUAAUUUUGUUUAAACAAAAAGGUACUUUCACUAGACCUAACCGUGGAUGAUCUCGCUAACUCGUAGUGCUCUUGCCGUGAUCCCACAUCUCACGAUUGCUAGAAGGCUCUGAAAAAAAUGUUAGUAACAGUGAGGUGAAUUGAAAUAAAAUUUUAGCGGAUGAAACUGCCGAAAGUGGUGCUCAAUCCAAAGGAGGUACUAGUAGAAUAAUAAUAGUAAAUAAAAAACUAUUUUUAUAAUAAAAAUACAAGUAAAACAAGUGCAAUUACUAUGCCUUAAAUAUAUACAACUAGUUUAGGACCCGCGCUUCGCGGCGGAUCGAUAGUAUUUCAGUCAAUCGGCAGAUAUAAUUAUUAAAAUUUUAAAAUUAAAAAAUUAUAGCCUUCUAUACAUUAUAAAGCUAAUCUUUUUUUAUUAAUAUUUUUUAACUUUCAGUAUUUGUAGAGUUAAAAUAUUCUAAUAACUUCACCUAAAAAUUCAAUUAAACUUAGUAGUUUUAGUAGUUAUUUUAUAAAUUAAUUUUUUAAUUAAAAUUUAAGGAUUUAUUCUAAAUUGCAAAUAUAUAAUGUUAUCCUUAUCUAGUUAACAUUGAUUGGAAAAAGAAGAAAUUAUUAUAUGCACCUAGUGUAUAUUAACACACCAUACACCACAACUUAUAUUAAAAACUAAUUUUUGAUAUCAAAACUUAAUUAAAUAUAUUUGAAUUAUAAAGUCUAAUAAUUUAAAUAUAUUUACUGAAUUAAAUUUUAAAAUCUCUAUUAAAUGUUUUAAGUAUGUGGUGUAUGUUGUAAUAUAUAUCCAGUAUAGAGAAUGCUUGACAGAGUAUAUUUAUAAUUGCAAAAAAAUAGGAGAAAUCUUUAGUUGCACCUGAUAUAUACUAAUAUUUCAUACACCAUAAAAGUAUAUUAAAUGAUUGAUAGAAUAUCUAAUAAUUAGUAUUAAAGAUUUUUAUGAUGUGAUGGAACUGCCAAAUUAUAUAUCUUGUAGAUUAUAUAUUAAAAAAGAGUUUGAUGUAUGCAAUAUUUUAAUAGAUCGGGUGGAUGUAAUAUUGUUGAAGUAGAGGAGGGAGAGGAAAGAAAACACAUGUCGCUCUGAGAGCUUUUAAUAUGACCCAACUAUCAAAUUAUAUAUCUAUAGAAGAUAUGCCAUAAUGAUAUAGUAUGUCAUUGGUUUAUAUGUUUACCCUAAACUAUUUCUUAUCUCUAACCAAUCAUUUGGUUCGGUUUGACUUCUCGUUUAGCAUUUUACGAAGAGUCGAAAAUAAUCAGCAUCUCUCUAAUCGGUAGGCACUUGAAGUCGAACGAAAUCAAUAUCUCCAAGUACAAUAAGGAGUCAAGAGGAAUUAGCAUUUCCCAAUAUGGAGUAGGGCAUCGAAGAUAAUCAGUAUCACCCAUUUUGCAACUUCCAGAAUGUCGUGGCUUGUAUCAUAGCUAAACCCUAAGUUCUCAUUAGGGUUCAUCACAAGGUUCAAUUAUACAUUUUUUUUUUUUUUUCUCUAGCUCAAGUUUAGUUUAGAGUUCAAAUAUUACUAUUUAUCACACCCUAAGUUCAAUAUCACUAUUAUUUCUCCUAUAUUCCAAUCUUCACAUGAUACUCAACAUGCACAUUAGUUAUUGUUUUUAGCAUGGAAAAUAGUUAGAAACCCUAUUUUUCCUAGGCUAAAGGCCCUUGAGCCCUCUUAACCUCCUAAACCUCAUAACAUUGAACUAAAUAUAUCUUUCUUUAUUUUUUACCCAUAAUACAUACAAAGGAAUACAAAAAAUUUUAGACAAAGAAAAGAUCAAAUGCAUCUUACAGUGAUAUUCUCCACCUUUAGUUGAAUCUUCCUUGUAGAUAAUUCUUGAUCUCUUUAAAAUUUUAAAUUUUUUUUUGAAAAAAUUCUAACCAAGUUAGAAUAAUAAAAUCUUCUAUUUGGAAAAAAAAUUCCCUAAAACCAAGCUCUAAAAAUCCCAACUAUAUAGAUGAUAUAACACAUCACUAAACUAGAUCUACUUAAAAUUGAUAACACUAUUUUCAUAAAACAAAAUAAAUAGUAUUAGCUACCAAUCAAAUUAGCACUGUUUUUUCCAAGACUGUUUCUUUCAAACUUCUAUUUUCUGUCUACCCCUCUCGACCAAGCUUUCCUUCUCCAUGCUCCUCCCGCUCUAACCUUUUAUCCUGAAUUUAGCUGGGUAGCUAGCCAAAAUCCAACUAAUAGGUUUGGCUGUUUGUUUACUUUGCUAUCAUUUUCUACAAUAUUAUCAUUACAUUUUCUACGACCUACUCUACAAUCGUCUAGAUUUUCAUCUCCUUACUUCACUCUUCACUUCAAAAUUUUCUUUUCUUUAAUCUACUCGGCAUCACUGAUUAUAUUUUUCUUUCGACCGGGAGCUUGACGGACUUGAUGAGCGGGACAUUUCGCUGUGAGUUGAAGGAUGACAGUUGGACCAGAGAUGCAGUCUGAAUGAUUAAUUUUGUCCAUCUUCUUCUCUCUAUUUUUUUUAUAUUUUGAGCUUAACAUUCAUGAGCUUAAUUGAUAAUUAGGUCGGAGAUUUUUCAAGCUUCGAGGGCUACUAUAUUUAUAUUCUCUUUUUUUUUUUUUAAGUUUUAGAAACACUUGUACUUUUUUUCCUUCUUUCCUGAUAUAAAAAUAUGCUUAUUUUAUUUUUAAAAAUUCUACAAUAAAGUAAUUAAGUCAUACUUUUUUAAUCAAAUGCCAAUGGUCUAAUGUAAAAACAAGUAGUAACACUAAUUUAAUGCAUUGGCAAUGCUCAUCCAUCUCUUCAAAUACAGAUCAUGAAAGGGGAACCCUAAAGCUGGGCUCCUCGGGCUUUGCGGGUCUCAUUCUUGUCCUUGAAAGAAAAAAAAGAAAAAAAGGGGAAACAGAGGGUGACUUUCGGGGAGUCUAAAGAUUGUGCUGUGUGGUGUGUGCUGUAUGCUUUGCCUGUUGUGUUCUAUCCUUGAAAAUGACAAAAGGGGCUUUCGCGUCCCAUCCUUUGUGUCGGUUCGCUUUUUCUUGUCUGGACUCGGUUCAUCGACUUGUUAUCUAUUAAUAAAGGAAUCUGUCUCUUUUUUUCACCCUCUCUCCUUUUCUUCCACCUUACUAAACCAUAAAUCCAAUUAUCAUCCCUGCCUUUUUCUCUCACAAACCCUAAACCUAAUUGUAUAAGUUUUUAGACCACUGGUAAUAAUAAAUUCUAUAUGAUUGAGAGAAGUGCUACUUAUACACCUGAACCUAAAAAAAAGGGGAGUAAAUCCCACACGAUCCCUUCUUCUCUUUGCUCUAAAAUCGCAUGGCCCGUGUCGCCUCCUCGAGCGUGCCCGAGAAGUUCCGCAACUUCCAGCUCCAGGUCCGUGCUCCCGCGCCCUCCAUUUCGCCGUAAUUUGAGUUCCUGUUCAUUCGAUUUCUUGUUGUUUGGUUCGAAUCGUCGAAGAUCGUGUGCUUGGGGCUCCGGAUUCGGUAGGGUUUGGCGUAUGAUGAGUUUUGUAGAUUUGUGGCUAUGGUUUUAUGAAGAUCGGCAUCUAUGGCUUACGAUAUGAUUAUGUUUAAUUUGGACUCUUGCAUUUAGCUUGUUCGUUAGGUGAAAGUCGAAUCUUUCGAUGUAGAGCAAAAUGAAUGGUUUUUAGUUAGGGUUACAGGUUCGUAUUCGAACUGUGUAUCGAUUUGGUGGAUAAGUUAGGGUUUUCAUCUAAUCAUAUUUGCAUGGUAAGAUGGGUUUACAGUCAUUGUAAGAUUUGGUGUGGUACCGAACUCUGUCGGUAGAUUGAUGAUAAAUUUAGGGCAAAGAUACUGGCAAGAUGAGCCCAGUAGAGGCUUCUUAAUAAUUCAUCAGACUGGAUAAUUGAAGGACUUUUUUUUCACAGUAACCCUAUUAAAAUUUCUCAUUUGCCAAAUAAUUCUUUUAAAAUUUUAUUUGGCCAACUAACCUGAGAAACAGUGAAUUAUUCACCUCUUUCAGAAAGUAGUGAAUGAUUCGCCGUUUUCAUAUUGUUAUUUUUUUUUUUUUAUAAGUUGUGAUUGUUAAGAUUGUAUGAGGAUUAUUAAAUUUUAUUUAUAGUUAAAAUUAUAUGGAUAGAUUGUUAGGAUAUUUUAAGUUGUUAGAAUUAUAUGUGAUUUGUGGUUGUUAAUAUUAUAUAUGGGCAUAGAAAAAAAGGAUAAAUCAUUCACGGUGAAUCAUUUACUGGAAUCAUUUACUAUCUCUAAUAGAAAAAAGAAGACGGUGAAUAAUUUACCGCCUUCUAAAUUUCAUUAAAGGCGGUAAAUGAUGGACCGUCUUUCAAUACCCGACAGUGAGUUGUUAAAAUAGGGUUAUUUGAACAAAUAAUUUUUUACAAGGUUAUUUGGCCAAUUAUAAAUUUUUAAAGGGUUAAAAUAAAAAAAAUCCAUAACUGACAGGGACUUCGUAUUGCACAGUGAAGCAUCUUCUUUUUUUUUUUUUUACCUAUGUGGUUGCAAAGACUGAUAAUGAUCUAUCAUCACUUUCGUAUCUUUGGUCAUGAAGGUUUCGUUUUAAUCUGACUGUCAUUAAAAGAUGCUAUCCAGAAUUACCUGUAGGAAUUUUCCUUCAAAAGUAAAUGUUAUUUAAAUAUGCAAACCGGUAAAAGAUCUUGACAACUGCAUUGGUUCUAGCAUUUGUUCUUGCAAUGCAUGAUUCAUCUCUGUAAGGCACCCUCAAAAGUUGUGAAACAUAGCUGUCGAGAACGUCAAGAUAUGGCAUUGACCUGUUCCUUUUGCUAUUCCAGCCGGCUUUGGAAGAUGAUGACCGAGAAAAAUUGGUAUAAAAUGGAAAAAAAGAAGGAAGUUUAUGAUUGUGAUAAUUUUCUGGUGGUUCAGCAAUUGCCAUGAUUCAUAAAAGUAUUUAUAAGUAUCCUUUUAUGAUUUGCAAAGCUGCUGUGUGAGAUAAAGAAUUGAUGCAGAGUUAUUAUGAGAACCACAAUUUUAUAGGGAAUAAAAACAAAGCUGCCUAUGAGAUGGCAAUACCUGGAUAUAACCAUGUGCUAACUUUCUUGGUUCAAAAUGGUAUGACAGUUCAAUCUUCAGGAAGUUCUGUAUAUUCAUAGUUAUUAUAUUUUAUUAAUCAAUGCAUAUCUGACAAUGUAGACUUAUUAGACUGUCAUGAUACAUUAAUUUCUAGAUCAACUAGGUCCAGGAAAUUCUGAAACUUUUUUUUUUUUUCCUUAGUUCAAAAGCUGUCAACCUUUUUGAAAUCAUCCUAAACUUUUAAUUUUGAUAUUUCAAAAUUCCGUCAUUUAUUAUAUCUUGCUGCUCUAGGAUGUGAGCUUCACAAUUCGUUCAUUGGGUUCACUUUAAAUCCAGAAUUACAGUCUUUUAGUUUGAAUAUACGAUUUUGAAACUUUUUCUUCUGUACCUUAGAAAACUUAGGUUUAACUACUCGUGUUUGUCAGGUUGAACUAUUGGAUCGUUAAGUUUUUGUAUUCUUCACUUUCUUUUGUCUUAGAUUGUCAAGCUUCAUCUCCUUAUCAUCACCCCGUUUGAGCUUUCUUCAUUCACGGUUAGCAUGUCAUGUCAUCUUACAUUGUUUUGACAUUAUGGAUACGUAACAGAGAUUAUGUUUCUUUUCACUUUAUGUUUAAAUUAGAUAGCAUGAAAAUUCCCAAGUUCACCAUAGAUUGCAUAUAUUGGUCAGUGUUAUUAUACCCUGUUAAUUUCGAGGAUUAUACUGUAGUAGUAUUAAACAAAGAAUAGUUUCUCCGUUAAUUGCUUUAGAGAGAUGUUUUAAUGAAGACUGACCUUGUUUGCUUUAGAGUUGGUGUAUUUAUUUCUCAAUGCUCUAUAUUCAAUAUCUCUGGAUUAGGAUAACUAUCGAGUCUGUGUAUUAUGAUUGGCUGCUCGGCAGCCUCCUGGCUGUCUCUUUUUUUUUUUCAAAAAAAAAACUCUCACUAGAUGGAAUAAAUUUUAACAUAAGCAUGCAUUCCUGUCAGUGUUAUUGCUGCAAUUUGUGCUACUAUCUUAUGCAAACCGAAAGGUUGCCAAAAUUGAAUUUUCAAGUUUGCUUUUGUUUAAAAGUAUUUCUUGAAAUAAAUAAGGUUUAAUUUAUCGAUUCCGACGAACUUUACUAUAAUUAAAGCAAUGAAGCAAAAAUUUCAACCAGACAAAAAUUAAAUUCGAAUUGAAGAAAUACUAAGAUGAUGAUGAACUUCAAUAUAUGAGAUAAUAACAAUCAACUGAAAGCAUAUAUAAUAGUUCCAAAAGGUAAAUUCAGCUUUAUCAAACUUAAAGCUUUUAGAUUUGGUUGUUUGACAAAUAUGGUUGGUAAUGGUGGAAGGCUAGAUUGAAAGGGAAUAAUAGGAUAUUAGGAGAUGAGAGAUACAAAAAGUGCACUGUUCACAUGAUUGCGGGGGAUCCACGAUCGACGAGGAGAGCGGUACACUAAAGGUAGAACUUUGGUCACGGGAAAGAAGAAGAUGAGGUAGUGACUCGAAAGAAGAGGAGGGGUAGAAGUAGAAGUUGAUCUUGUCAUGAGGAAAAAGCGACAACGAACAAAUUGAGGAAAAAGACGAUCUCAGCACGAGGAAGAAGCGUUGAUGAUCUCAUCGGGAAGUAGAACACCAAGGAUAAAUAGUAAAAGUAUAAUUUUCUAUUCAUCAAAAUAUAUUCCUUAAGGCUUCAAAAACCAAGUAUUUAUAGUGUUGAGAGCCCUCCUAUAAUAAAUUACUGUCCUUUCGUUUUCAACAUAACGGUCACUCAAGGGUCAUGUAUAGAAGACGAAGCAAUUUUGGGAAUUCAAAGGUCUUUUUUGGAAUAGUUUUUUUGUUUAUUGGAGAAAAGGGUUUGGAUUAGCUAAACCAACUAAAACUAAAUGAGUUAAGUCCAAAUCAAACAUAAACCUACAAAAUAAAAGAAAAUUGCAUUCGAAAAUAAACUGUGAUUUAUAUGCUGCAUCACUAUCUACAUCACUUUUUAUCUCAGUUCUUGGUUUGAGAUUGAGUUAUUUCUAGUUAAAGUUCAAUUAUGAAGUGUCUUAUCCAUAUAGUUAAAUUUUGUUAAGGAUGAAUUCAGUGCAGUUCAUAUUUGGGUAAUUUUUAAAUUUAGGGUUGUGGAAGUCAUAUUUGCUCAUAUAGUUAUAUUUAUACGUUAAUGCAUUGCUCCUCUUAGAAAUGCUGAAAUUAAAGCAUGGUCUGAUUCUCUUCUACAAAAUGGAUCAUGCUUUUGUCAUUCAUGUACCUUCAUCAUAAUUUUACAUAUCUUCUAUGAUACAGUUCUGAUUACAACAAUGUUUAGUAAAUUCUUUUAAUAUGAUUUUGUGUUGUUUAAUGCAGGAGGAAUUUGACAUUUAUGAUGACAAUUUCAAUUGGUUUCUCAAAUUACAAUUUCUGAAAAAGAGGUCCAAGAUCAUUGAGAUUGUUGCAGCAAAGGAUGUUAUAUUUGCUUUAGCACAAUCUGGUCUCUGUGCUGCUUUUAGCCGGAGUAAGUCUGAUGCUUUUCUAGUUUCCUGUUGACUCUUUUGUUUAUUCUAGUUCUAAUUCGGAUUUUUUUCUUUUUGUUGAUAGCAACAAAUAAGCGUAUAUGCUUCUUGAACAUAAGCCCCGAUGAAGUGAUCAGGAGCUUAUUUUAUAAUAAGAAUAAUGACUCUCUCAUCACGGUUUCCGUUUAUGCGUCAGACAGUUUCAGUUCCUUGAAAUGCCGGACCACUCCAAUAGAGUAAGAAAUGUACUUCCAUGUGAACGCUGAAGUUUUCAAGCAAACUUAAUUCUUCUUGUGUAUAGUUCACACAAUAAUGUACAUAUGUGCACAUACAUUUAUCUACACAAUGUGUGUGUAAAGGUUCUGAUAAGUCCUAAACAACUGAAGAUACAUGUUGACUUUCUUACCUUAAUUAUUAGCUUGUAGUGUGUGAUUUUAGGGUCAACCUUUGCAUGGUUUUCUUGGUAACUAUGGAAAUUGUACCAUGACAAACGUUUCUAUGUUGCUAAUACCUAAAUCCAUAAACUUAAGUUUUUCCUUUCUAAUUCAGUUCCGUGCAGUUCUUACUAUGACUAAUUUUUUGGACUCUGCCAGAUAUAUCAGAAGAAACCAGCUAGAUGCUGGUUAUUCUCUCUUUGAGACCGAAUCAUUAAAAUGGCCUGGUUUUGUUGAGUUUGAUGAUGUCAAUGGCAAAGUUCUUACAUAUUCAGCACAGGAUGGGUAAGUCACCCUCUUGAUGCUUUUCUCUUUACAAACCCUAAUCCAUCUGAUUUAUUUUUUUGCUUACAGUGCUUACAAAUUGUUUGGCAUGCUUACAGUAGUUACAAAGUGUUUGACCUGAAGAACUAUAACUUCUUGUACUCCAUGUCGGAGAAGAAUAUUCAGGACAUCAAAAUAAGGUUUGGUUCCCUUCUUCAUUAAACAUGCAUGUAGAUUAUUUUAUGCAUCUGAAUCUUUUCUUUUCAUAAUCUGAUAUUCGAAAAUCAUGCAUUUGAACAGCCCAGGCAUCAUGCUGUUAGUAUACUCGAGAACUCCUGGCUAUGUUCCACUCAAAAUAUUAUCAAUUGAAGAUGGAACAGUGCUGAAAUCUUUCAAUCACUUACUUCACCGCAACAAGAAAAUUGAUUUCAUCGAGCAGUUCAACGAGAAACUAUUGGUCAAGCAAGAGAAUGAGAACCUCCAGAUUCUCGACGUGGGCUGUUAAUCUUUAUCUUUCUUGUUCUUGAUUUUUUUUCUUUUUAAAUUUAAGAAGCAUAUUAUAAUUCUUGGAGCAGGUGAGGAACUCAGAGCUGGUAGAAGUCAGUAGGACUGAUUUCAUGACCCCCUCUGCGUUCAUUUUCCUCUAUGAGAACGACCUUUUCUUAACAGUCCGGAACGGGGCUGCCGCAGUUUGGAAUUUGCAGGGAGAGCUUGUCACCUCCUUUGAAGACCAUGUGCUUGGGCAACCUGAUUGCAUUGCUAGUAACAUUUACAUCACUAGCAACCAGGACCUGAUAAUCUCAUACUGCAAGGCUGAAAGCGAAGACGAGAGGGAAGGUAUUUAAUUUCUUGAUUAACUGAAAAAUCAUUGCUAUUACUUUCUGCCUUUUUAGCUUGGGCUUCUGAUAAACAGCUGCUCUACUUUAAAAUGCAAUUGCUGCUUGUUUUGGCAAACAAGAAGCCAUGGACCAUUUGUUUUGGCCCGAAGUUAAAUUAAGCUCUCGAAUAUCAAAUGUAGAAGCUCUAAAUUGAAACUUCUGUUUCUGGUGUUGCGAGAUGUUGGGGAACGACAGCAAGGAAAAAGCUGCAUGUGCUUUUUAAAUAGCUUUACUCAACGGUUCUGCGGAAGUUCAGAACAUGCCAGCAGGCCAUUUUAAACUAAAACAUUUGAUUUUAUGAUCUACAAAGAAACCCUCACAGCUUCUCCUAUAGGAUCUAUCAACAUGAGUCACAUCCUCAGCGGGAAGUGUGUUGCCAAGAUCUGUCCCCGUGAUCCAUCUCUACAGAUCGCGCCUCUCAACCAGGGCAACCCCGGCCGGUCUACCAUCAGGAGCACUAUAAGGGAAGCUCUUGAAGAUGUGACUGUGGUCUUCUACAACGAGGAUCGGAACGAAAUAUAUACUGGAAACAAGAAAGGCCUGAUCCAUGUUUGGUCACUUUCCUUUAGAGCCUCUUUAUAAUAUGCGUUUAACCUACCAACCCACGUUUCCCUGUGCUGUUCCUAAAAGUGUACCAGUUUUUUUUUUUUUUUUCCUGUUGAUCUUUUGAUGGCUCCAGGUUUUCUUAUAGAACACAUCAUCUAAUGAAAACAUCAACAUCGAUCACUAAUGUAUAAAGCACUCAAGUUUGAUUCUGAUUUUAAUUUCGUUCUUAUAGAUUCAACAUCUAGCAUUUUAGUCAGUAAAGAUUGAUUUGCGUAACAAUUAACUCCGCAUUGUUAGCAUUAUAGUUAGAUGUUCUUUUUUUAUUCUAGUUUUUCGGUUUCCAAGUCGGACUCCUAAAGAAAUUUGAAACACUGAAGUUCUGUAGACUUAAGGGAAUCAUGGUCAAUCUUCUUCUGUGUUUAGACUGUUACUGCAACCAAAAUUCGUCUUGAACUUCAGAGAUCAAAUUCUGCAAUUAAAUGUUAGCUUAUCGCAAGUGAUAACUUCUGGUGUUCGCUUGGAACGCAUUACCUAUGGAAAGAUUUAGAUUAAUUGCAGUUGAUUGUGUUGAACUUUAAGUUUGAUUACAAUUUUUUGUUCUCAUGGUUUCGACUAUAACAGUGCUAUUAAAGAAGAACAUUUUUUUAACCAUUAAGAAUUGAGGANGGGGGGGGGGGGGGGGGGGGGGGUGGUGUGUGGUGUGGUGGUGGUGGUGGUGGUGGUGUUCUUGGUGCGGAGGAGAUGAGAGUUUCUUGGCUUGUACUGUAGCUCUUUAAAAUUUGAAGUGUUUUCAGAAGGAAUUAUAUGUGGGUAAAUUGCAGCACUAGUUCCUCAACUUUAUAUCGGGUGUCGUUUCAACCCUUUAAAUUUGAAGUAUUUUUAGAAGAAAUUUUAUGUGGGUAAAUGUAACACCCUGGACGACCCGCAACCCGUCGAUACGAGAUGUUGCUGAGACGUGGACGGCGGGGAGGAUGAGGGGCGCCCGAGCUGGAUUGCUUCUACUGGAUUCGGGUAAAAAAGGGGAANCGAUGAUGGCGGGGAGGAUGAUGGCGUUACAAUGGCAUAAUUGCCUCCGAUAAUGCUAGUCAGCUGAGUUGAGAGCGAGAAGGGAAGAAAGGAUUAAAGAGGGAAAAGAGAGGUGAAGGUAGGAGAAGAAGAUGAGACAAGGGAAGGAAGAAAGAGAAUUGGGAAGAAGAAGCUUUACUAUAUUCCAUAUGUUUUUGUUUACAUCAUAAUUUGGCACUUAUACUACUUAGUGAUUCGUACUGAAAUGAAAAUAGCUAUUCUAUGAGGGCUAUAUCGCAAAAGUGAUAAAAAGAGGUGUCGACUGGUUGGGCUACAAUUCAGUGGGGGCUUGGGCCUUAGUUGGAUUCGACCGGACCAAAGCAUCCUCGUAGUCGAACGCGGGUUUGGGGGCACUUCUUCCUCUCAACAUUUCCCCCCAAUCUAGAGUUUUGGUCUUCCGACCCGCCAGUCUCCGAAGAAUUACUACUUCGCCCAGACUCCAGAUUUUGUGUAUCUACUUCUCCGCUCUGAUCUUCUUCUCCUUCCCUGUUUCGGAGGAUGCCCUAGCUUCCUCAUGUCUCCUCCUCCUUCUCCUCCGACGGCUGGCUGGAGGUCUCCCUAAGCACCUUCGACCUGAUUAGCCUCCAAGCUCACCCUUUUCCAUCUUGCGGCUGCCACUUAUCUCGCCUCUAUUAAGUAAAGUUGCUCCCCCCCCCCUUUUUUUACUAAUUACUUCUACUGUUUAUUCUAUAGGUCUUACAACUCCUCCCCGCUUCAGAAGACUUGUGGCCUCACGGAUCGUGCUCCGAAUCAAAGUUCGGGAACUGGGACUUCGGGAACUGGGACUUAAGAAACUAGUAAUCCUCCCAAGUGGCUGCUCCUUCGUCCAAGUUUUCCCACUUCACCAGCACUUGGCUAGCUAUUCUGUUCCCUUGCUUCAUCAUGCGCCUCUCCAAUAUUCACUCCGGCUAUGCGAGCAGCUGACCAUCUCCCCCGACCAAGGGCACCGUUAGGGUUACUGGUGAGUUCGUUGGGGGGGCUUCUUUUCAACAAUGAUACAUGGAACACCGAGUGGAUCUUGGAUUCUUCUGGUAGCUGCAGUCGAUACACCAUCUUUCCAAUCUUCUCCAUGAUUUUAAAAAGUCCGGAGUAUCGCACGAAGAGCUUCAGGUUUCGCCUAACUGCGACGCUCACUUACCGAUAAAGUUGCAGCUUUAGGUAUACAUACUCUCCUACUCUCCUACUUGUCGGUAUUCUACUUUAUGCGGUUUUGGGGUUCUAGCAGUCUUUCCCUGAGUAGUCGGGUCAUCCUUUCUUGUUCCCUUCCCCACUCUUAUAUUGUAUGUGAUGUUUCCAUUCCUAAAUUCACAACCAAACCAUUGGGCGGCAGAUGUCCGUAGAGAGCCUGGUAGGGUGUUGUUCCCAGCGAGUUGUGGUAAUUGGUGUUAUACCACUAUUCCACCAUACUAAGCCAUUUAUGCCAUGUAUGUGGCUGAUGAGAGCACAUGCAACGGAGGUAAGUCUCGAGGCACUGGUUUAGCCUCUUGGAUUGGUCGUCGGUUUAUGGGUGGUAGGUUGUGCUCAUUAACAAUUUAACUCCCAACAGUUUAAAUAUUUCUUGCCAUAUCUGACUUGUGAACACCUUGUCUCGGUCUGUCAGUAUCGUUCUGGGCAACCCGUGCAGUUUAUAGACUGUGUCGAGGAAGGCUCUCGCGACGCUUGAGGCUGUGAAGGGGUGGGUCAAGGAGAGGAACUUGGCAUACUUGGUGAGUAGGUCUAUCACCACUAACACUGUGUCUUUGCCUUCCAAUUUUGGUAGGGCUUCAAUAAAAUCCAUAGUAAUUUCUCGCCAUGCCCUUGUAGGAACCGACAAGGGUGGAAGUAAACCAGCGUAGGGUUGACCGUUCACUUUAUUUUGUAUGCAAACCGUGCAGUUCUUGGUGUAGUUUUCUACAUCUUGUUUGAGACCUGGCCAGCAAAAGUAUUGUUUGUCUUUUGUAGGUGUGCCACGCCCCCGAGUGGCCUCCCAGGGCCGACGAGUGCAACUGGCUCGAUAUUCUCUCCUUGAUGUCACCUUGGUCCUCCAUGUAAAUCCUUUCCUUGUAUCGUAACAAGCCUUGGGUGUAGGUGUAUUGCGAGUGUGGUGUGGGCUGUAACCGCAAUUUGGCAAUUAUCUGCUUGCACUUCUCGUCAUCCUUGUAGCUGGCAGUCACUUCUGUUACCCAACUAGGGAUCGCCGCCGUGACAGCAGCUGUGGCUCCUUCAAUCCCCCUUCUAAAUAACGAAUCCGCAGCUCUAUUCUUCUUACCUGCUUUGUAAUGUAUCACGUAGUCGAGGCCCAUAAGCUUAACCAUCCCUUUCUAUUGAAAAGCCGUGGUAAUCUUCUGCUCUAAUAAGUGGUUGAGACUUUGGUGGUCCGUCUUGAUUAUGAACUGUCGUGGGCGGAGGUAGUGCUUCCAUUUAUUCAUCGCCAACAAUAUUGCUAGGAACUCCUUCUCGUAGGUCGAUAGCCCUAUAUUCCGUGGGUUGAUGGCCUUGCUAAUGUAAGCGAUCGGUCGCCCUCCUUACGAUAGCACCGUUCCCAGUCCCUGUCCACAUGCGUUCAUCUCUAUAGUGAAAGGUUUGGUAUAAUCGGGCAUCGCUAGUACAAGCGCUUAAGUGAUGGUCCUCUUCAGUUUCUCAAAAGUGGUUGUACUUCCGGACUCCACUUGAAUUGGUCAUUCCUUAACAAUUUUGUUAGUGGUUUGGUCAUUUUGCCGUAGUCCUAGAUAAAUCUCCUAUAGCACCCGGUGAUACCCAAGAACCCCUUGACCCUUAAGGAAAGUUGGUGUCGGCCAAUUCACCAUCCUCUAUCUUUUUCGGGUCCGUAGCCAUUCUCUCCGGGGUGAUAAUAUAGCCUAAAUAUUCCAUGUUCCUUUGGCCAAAGUAACAUUUUGAUCUCUUGGCGUAGAGUCGAUGCUCGCGCAAGGUCUCCAGCACUUUGCCCAAAUGUUCCUUAUGCUCCUCGAGACUCUUGCUAUAGAUCAAUAUGUUGUCAAAAAAACCAACACAUACUUUCUAAGGUACUCCGCAAAAACAUUGUUCAUUAUUGAUUGAAAGAUCGCUGGUGCGUUGGUCAGUCCAAAUGGCAUUACCAAGAAUUCAUAGUGGCCCGAAUGGGUCCGAAAGGCGGUUUUAUAAAUAUCCUCCGGUUUCAUUCUAAUUUGUUGAUAUCCGGCUCUUAAAUCGAUCUUAGAAAAAUAGGAAGCACCACCCAAUUCGUCUAAUAGGUCAUCAAUUAAAGGGAUAGGAUAUUUAUCCUUCACAGUGGCCUUAUUUAAUUGCUGGUAGUCCACACAAAACCUCCAUGAAUUAUCUUUCUUCUUAACUAACAAUACCGGGGGGCGCAUAAGGACUCGUGCUAGGUUGAAUGAUAGCCGACUCCAACAUCUUCUUGAUUUGCCUUUCGAUUUUGUUUUUCUGCUUGUACGAUUAGCGAUAUGGUCAAAUGUUGACUGGGUGGGUGUCCCGUUGUAAUGAAAUUCUAUGGUCUUACCUCUUUCUUGGAGGUAACUCCCUUGGUUCCUUGAACACAUCGUCGUAUCGCUGUAGCACUCUUUGGAUCUUCUCGGGUACCAUCGGCUCUUGUCUUUUGUUGACUUGCAUAAUUCUCACUAUGGCGCAGAAGACCCCUUCCUAGCAGUCCUUGUACCAUUCCUUGGCAGUGAGCAUCUUUAAUUUAUUUCCUUCUGCCAGUCCUUUGAGUAUUAGUUGCUGUCCGUCCUUAUCGAACGACACCGUAUUGUUGGUGUAGUCGAAAGUAACCUUGCCACACAUCCGUAACCAGUCUAUCCUAAGCACCACACUAGAGCCUUCGAGUCGGAUUAUUCUCAAGUCAGCCUUAUAGGGUUGACUAUUCAUCUUCCAAGUGAAUCCCGGGCAUCUCAGCUUGCUCAUUAUUUUGUGGCUGUUAGCAACAGUGAACAGCAAUGGUGCUGCUGACUCAACCUUUCCUUCACCUCCUUAGCCACUCUAAAAUCCAGGACGCUAUGCAUGCUUCCAAUGUCUACCAGUAUCUUCAAGAUCUUGUUUCCUACUUCUCUUUGGAUUUGGAGGGUCUGUUGUUGGUUUUCUCUACUAAGAGCAUUAAAAGAUAAGCCCACUUCCUCAGUCUCCUCUGGUGGGGAGUCCUCUGCCUCCUUCCCAUGUUCGAUUUCUUCUUCUUCAAUCAGACACUCCUCAUCAUACACCUUCAGUACAUUGUCCUCGGCUGGCAUACUGAAUAGGGACUUGUUCUUGCAUUGAUGCCCCGGGUGAUAUCUUUCGCUGCACUUAAAACAUUGGUUUGCUGCCCUUCGUUGUUCCAUCAACCUCCUGCGCUCCUAGUGCAAGUGGUUUGAAUCCCAGGAUAUACCUUGAGUUGGCACCUUGUUAGAUUCCUUGGGUUUGAUCGGACUUGCUCCUGCAGGAGCUCUGGCUCCACAGAAUGUCGUGUAGUUUUUUCCUGGUACCUUGCUAGUUGGCUUAUGCUUCCUAUGCAUUACUAUGAGGGCCCUGUCAUGUAAUUUAGCAGCCCAAAAGCAUCCUCCAGCGUGGUUGGAUGCGAUAUAUUCAUAAAGGGCAUUAGUUCCUCCUUCAAUCUAUUGAUAUAGCAUGCUGUGAAGAACUCUUCGUCAAGAUAUGGGUUGUAUUGUAAUAUCUGUGAUCUCAACUCCUCAAACCUUUCUUGGUAUUUUUCAAUAGACCUGAGUUGUUUAUGGUUGCCAAAUUCACAAAUCAAAUAGCGCUCCCUGACAUUCGCAAAUCGCUUACAGAUGGCUUCUGAAAACUCCUCCGAACUCACCCCAGGUCGAUUGAUAAAGUAUCCUUGCUUCCAAGUGGGCGCCUUCCCUAUAAUGUGCUUAGUAGCCACCCUUAGCCAUUGAGGUCGAGGAAUCUGAUAAAGGUCAAAAUAUUAUUCGCAAUUCUACAACCACCCUUUAGGAUCCUUGCCGUUGAAUUAAGAAAAUUCUAACUUGGGAUAAGAAAGGUACUGUUGAUGAGGCCCUUGAGUUCUUGUCGGCCAAGGUGGUAUCUAUUCUUCCUUGAUCACCUACAUUGGCAGUGGCGUCGGUAGAAUUCCUUUACCCUUGUUAUCUCGGAUAUAAACAGGUGUGUUGCUACUUACCGCUCUGAUAUUCUCUUGACUUCUUCCUGCAGGAUUGCUCCCUAUGGAGCUAUGGGCGGCCUUGAGUUGAGACGGCAGAGCGGAUAUCAUCCUCAACAACUCCGCGUGCAGCCUUUGCUCUUCUUCUCUCGACUCCGCUAACUGAUGAGGCAACCUAUUGAUCCUUGUCUCAUGGUCCGUGCUCAGGUGCUCUAGGCGCUCUUCGAGGGAACUAACUUGGUCGCUUAGAUCCUUCAUUCUUUUGGCCCCUACCAUCUCUAUAUCUCUGGAUGUGAAUUUAAAUUUGUUCUGUCUUUUCUUCCCAAUGGUUGGUUGGCUAGUAAUAUUAUCGAACACUUGAUGCACUCUGUUGGUGUGCGGUUCCCUUGAAUGCUAGAUGCCCGCAGUAUGACUCCGUCCAUAAUAAGUUGGCUACCCUAAGAUCUAGCCGCUCUAAUAUCAGUUUGUAACAUCCCGGACAACCUGCAACCCGACGAUGACGAGAUUUUGCCGAGACAAGGAUAGCGGGGAGGAUAAUGGCGUUACAAUGGCAAAAUUGCCUCCGAUAAUGCUAGUCGGCUGAGUUGAGAGCGAGAAGGGAAGAGAGGGUUAAAGAGGAGAAAGAGAGGUGAAGGUACGAGAAAAAGAUGAGACAGGGGAUGGAAGGAAGAGAAUUGCGAAGAAGAAACUUUACUAUAUUCUAUAUGUUUUUGUUUACAGCAUAAUUUGGCACUUAUAUUGCCUAGUGAUUCGUACUGAAAUAAAAAUAGCUAUUCUAUGAGGGUUGUAUCGCAAAAGUGAUAAAAAGAGGUGUGGACUUGUUGGGCUGCAAUUCAGUGGGGGCUUGGGCCUUAGUUGGGUUCAGCCGGUCCAAAGCAUCCUAGUAGUCGGACGCGGGUUAGCGGACCCCUCCUCUUCUCAACUCUCCGAAUAGCGGGUUUUGGGUCCGCCAUUUCCCCUCGAUCCAGAGUUUUGGUCCUCCAACUCGCAAGUCUCCGAAGUAUUACUACUUCGCCCAGACUCCAGAUUUUGUGUAUCUACUUCUCCGCUCUGAUCUUCUCCUCCUUCCCUAUUUCGGAGGAUGCCCUAACUUUCUCAUGCCUCCUCUUCCGACGGCUGGCUGGAGAUCUCCCUAAGCACCUCCGGCCUGAUCAGCUCCCGAGCUCACUCUUUUCGACCUUGCGGUUGUCGCUUAUCUCGCCUCUACUAAGUAAAGUUGCUACUUUUCUCCCCAUUUUUUUACUAAUUACUUCUACUGUUUAUUCUAUAGGUCUUACAGUAAAUUGCAGCACUAGUCUCUCAACUUUAUAUCGGGUAUCUUUUCAACCCUUUAAAUUUGAAGUAUUUUCAGAAGGAAUUAUAUGUGGAUAAAUUGCAGCACUAGUCCCUCAACUUUAUAUUGGGUAUUGUUUCAGCCUUCAAUCUUUUGAGUUUGGUAUAAGUGGUCCCUAAAUUUUUAGAAGUAAUUUUUUCUUAACCCUUAUGCAUUGGUCAAUUAAUAUAUAUGUAUUUAUCAACAACUUUUUCUAUCAUAUUUUUCAAUCCUACAAUCUAUUAAAAAUUGGACAUCUAAAUUUAAAUUAUGAGACGAAUGAAUAAAAAAUAAAUUCAUGGUGUAGUAAAAAAUAGUUGAACUAGAUAUAAAUGAUAAUUUUUUAAUUUAAGAUAGAAAUUAUGUAGUGUAUUGAAUUCCAGUAUACUUUUCUGAACUUUGGCUAAAUUGAAUAAAGUACGGAGAAAAUGGUGUAUGAGAUUAUUGGAGAAAGUUUAGAAGCAAAAGUUAUGGGUUGAGUGAAAAUUUUAUUGAAUAAGAGGGGUUAAGUUGUAACUAUGUUGGGGCUUAAGGAUAAGAUCUAGCUCUUCUACUCUCUCUUUUGUCUUCUACCCAUACAAGAGAAAAAAAAAAAACCCGUUCUUUUUAUCUAAACCCUUUUUCCUUACUCUUUAACAGCUCUCUCUCUCUUUCUCUUGUAACCCCUCCAUCAAAAGAGGAAAUAUUGGAGAUUUUGGUAGCUUCAAAUUGGAGAAGUUUGGAAGAACUCUCUAAUGGUGGAUCAAGCUUCUUGACUAUUGUGACUAAGGUGAGAUUUAUGAAUUAGAAUUAGAGUUUUAGUUAAAUCUUUUGUAAAUGAGAUAUUUGAGAUCCCUAGGUGUUUCUAAACUAGUUUAAUCAAAGGGUUCACCAUGAUUUUGGGUGUUCUUGAGGAUUUGGAAACCUAAGGUAUGGAAUUGGGGUUUUUGUCCCUAAGAGUGCUGAAAUCAAAUUGAUCUUGUAAAUCCCUAAUUGUAAGAUAGUUUGACGCAGGAGACAACUCCGAUUUGGAUUACGACAAGAUUACAACGUCCGAUUAGAGGAAUUUGAGAAAUUUCAUUCAUUAGGCUUGAAGCGUGCCGAAUCGACAUCAGAGAGCCAAUUGCUUUAACAUCCUAGCAAUUGGUAAUUAACUAAAGUGGAUGGUGCUCUUUGAAAUGGUUUGAUUUAUCCCUAUGUCUAACUCUAUUCAUUGAACAUAAAUGCAUGAAUAUGUGAUUAUGUAUCAUAGGACUUAAGUUAUCCUUUUCCAUAUGAAUUGUAUGCUUCCCAAGGUAAUGAAUAAACAAUUGCAAUUGAGAACUUUAUACUUAUGAUGCAUGAUUUUUGAACCCUAGAGAUACAAGAACUAGUAGGUUGUCUGGACGUAGAAAACAUAGUGAAAUACUAGGUGUCAUUGUGCUACGUGUCGAUCAUGAACCUAGUGAUAGAACUAUGGUUUGGGUGUAACCUGUUGUACAUGUAGAGAACUAUAACACCGUGUUGAGAUUAUACAUGUAGUAUGUACUAGAUGUUCUGUGAUAGUCACAUAUACUGUGAGCUAUUACAUGCUUAGCCAUUGUUGGAUAAAAUUAAUUAAAUACCCAAAAAUCAAUCGUCGCAAAAAUCACAUAGAUUUUUACAUACCUCUUUAUGGUGCGGAAUUAAUGUUGUAAUUACCAGGAUCUGAUCUCGUCUUGUUUUACGAACUCGUUGAUCCGCCAACGUCCUGUCUCAAUUUGUUGCACGUUGUUCUUACUCGUUGCAAUCCGGCUACUAGAGUCGAUCGCCGCCCACCGCCCAAAUCCCUAGGGUUUAUGAUGGUGCCCUAUAGCGAACCCAAAAGAGAGAAUUUUUGUGGAGAGAUGAUUCUUCUUUUUUUUUUAUUGUCUUUUUUCUGUCGUAUAUGGUCAAUACCUCAUGUAUUUAUAGGCCAUAAGGGAGACGUUAAUCCUAAUCAUAUUCUAACUAAAUCUUACAUAGAUAAAGAUUUAAACAGAUUAGGAUUUAUCUGUUAGAUUUAUUCUUUAUCCCAAGUGGACUAGGAAUAUAACAGAUAAUUAUAAAUAUUUAUUUCUUAUCCCAUAUGGAUUAGAAAUAUUUUAGAUAAGUCCCAAUGUGGACGAAUCCUAACAUCUCCCACUCGUACACACUUGAUACUUCUUCAUACUUUCUCAUACCAAAUAUAUUCUCAUCUCGUUCUGCUCUUCGGAUGGGAAAUGAUUGGUGCGAUCAAUAACGAGAAGAAUCAUAAGUGAGGAGUGUUAUAUUAAGCCACCAUCCGAACUAACAUAACACCACAACUCCAAAUCUCGUCUAUACCCCAAAUCAAUGAACUACACCAGAUCAUAGCAUCUCUAAUCCCAUAGAGCAAGCUAGAUCUCUCUCAUUAAUGUAUUUGUUCUCAUGAUUAUAUUGACAACAAAUAUCAACAUAAUCGCCCGGGCAAUGAGUAACAAAUCAUAGGUGUAUUAUCAAAUAAUUUUUCCUUAGAUGCCUCAUGUCAAUCCAUUUCAACUUGACUGCUUUCCUAGACAUGUUCCGCUGGACCGAAUCAAUCAUGGCCCUUGGAUAUCAUGCUAAAGUAGCAUCAUCAAGUAUCCACUUCAUAACAUGGUUCUAAGUCUCAAAGGGUACGAAAGCUCACACAGUGACGAAACGGGAAUCAAUUUCGUCACUCUCUAAAAUAUAGUGAUCGAUCUUGCACAUACGGUAUGAACGUAUACUAUAGUGGAGCUACCUCUAAGGACAUGUCACGCUCAAAACACCAUACAAAUAUCGAUUUUGUUGUAACUCAAGAGAACAAACCUCAAGACAGUCACCUACAUGGUGUCUUCUUUACAUUCGGCUUCAUACAGGCCGAGUAGAGUCGUGGAUCAUCUCUACUGUCCACUUUGUACAGUCCCAUCUUAACUCAUCUAAGGCGACAUUCAAGAUUUAAAUACUCGCUAGCUCUUAUAGCGCAAAGUGGAUCACCUGCAUUACUAAUUGCAUUUAUGUGAUGUUAUUUGUCUCAUCCUGCUCGCUCUCCUCGCGACAAGGUGAUCACCCGUGUGAGAGGGCUGAUCAAGGGCCUGGUGACAUUCAUUCUCACAAAGAUAUUGUGCACUAAUUUAAAAUUUAAUAAACAUGUAUAUGAUUGAAAAAGAUAUCAAAAACAUUUAUUAGCAAAAUUAUUAAUACAAGAUAUAUAAGAGUCAAGUCCUACACAAACCCAAUCCUUUAACAUGUUUAUGAAAAACAUUUCUAACAAGGGGUUUGGUAAAAGGAUCUACUAUCAUAUCAUCAGUAUAUGCAAAUUUAAUUACAAUCUGUCCCUGUGCAAUUAUAUCUCUAAUGAAGUGAUAUCUAGUCUCAAUGUGUUUAGAUCUUCCAUGAUAUUUUGGAUCCUUGGCAUAAGCUAUUGCUGCUUUAUUGUCACAAUAGAUAAUAACAGCAUCAUCAGCAUGAGCUGUUACACUCAAAUUUAUCAUAAAUCUCCUUAGCCAAACAGCCUCUUGUACUGCUGCUGUACAUGCAAUGUACUCCGAUUCUAUAGUCGAUAAGGAGACAUAUGGUUGCUUCUUGCUACACCAUGAAAUAGCAGCUCCUCCAAAUAUAAACGCAUAUCCCGAGGUAGAUUUGCGUUCAUCUUUAUCUGUGGAUCCAUCAGCGUCUGUGUAUCCCGUCAAUCUAAGCUCUCCUCCAUGAUAGCAUAGAGCAAGGUUCGCAGUACCUCGCAGAUAUCUGAAAAUUCUUUUAACUGCUUGCCAAUGUGCUGCACCAGGAUUACUCUGAUAUCGACUAACCAUGCCAACAGCGAAACAUAUGUCUGGUCGAGUACACAUCAUUGCAUACAUCAAGCUGCCGACUACACUCGUAUAUGGGACUUUUUUCAUUUGCUUUCUCUCUUCUUCUGUUUUAGGGCACUGUUCAAGGCUAAGAUAAUGACCCAUUUCCAUUGGAGUGUCAAUAGGCUUCGAAUUAUGCAUUCGGAAUCGCUCCAAAAUUCUUUUGAUGUAAGUCUCUUGAGACAAACUUAAGAAUUUUCGAGAUCGAUCCCUAUGGAUCUUGACUCCCAAUACAUAAUCCGCUUGUCCCAUGUCCUUCAUCUCAAAAGUAGAGGACAACCACUCCUGUGUGGUGAUUAUUAACUCCAUAUUAUUUCCGGCCAACAAGAUAUCGUCUACAUAUAGUGAAAGGAUAAGAAAACUUUUUUCUUCCCUUUUAACAUACACGCAAUGGUCUUCUUCGAUCAUCACAAAGCCUAUUGAAAUAAUUGCUCUAUGAAAACGUUGAUACCAUUGCCUAGAUGAUUAUUUCAAACCGUAAAUAGAACGUUUUAAGCGGCACACUGUGCGCUCUUGUCCUUCGGCUAUAAAACCAGGAGGUUGAUUCAUAUAAAUCUCCUCGUCUAGUUCUCCAUUGAGAAAUGCAGUCUUCACAUCCAUUUGGAAUAGUUCCAAAUCUAAAUGUGCGACGAUAGCCAGAAUCAGGCGAAUUGAAGCAAACCUCACCACUAGGGAGAAUGUCUCUUCAUAGUCUACUCCCUCCUUUUGGGUGUAUCCUUUCGCCACUAGUCGGGCCUUAUAUUUAUCAAUUGAUCCAUCUGCCUUCCGUUUUAUUUUAAAAAUUCAUUUAUUUCCAAUAGUUUUUCGUCCAAAUGGAAGAUCAACUAACUCCCACACAUUAUUCUUAGUUAUGGAACUCAUCUCAUCCUCCAUAGCAGCUAGCCAUUUAUCACAAACUGGUGAACUCAUAGCUUCAGCAUAAGAAGCCGGCUCAUCAACAUCCGUAGAAGCACACAUGAACGAUUUCCCUUCAAUCUCAAAUCGACGACGAGGAACACCUCCACGUUUACUUCUUCGUAAUGAUGGACUUUGUGAGCCAUGGUCAAUCGGCACACUCCCACUGACCAUAGGAUCACUCCCAUUGUUUUGGGCUAUUUCUUCAUGUGGCCUCAGUGCCUCAUUCUCGUCUAACAAUGGGACAUUUCCAUUAGGUUCUUGCAACUCGUAUAGUGCAAGAUCCUUUUUAAUCUCACCAAUGUCUGGAAAAUCAUUCUCAAGAAAAUCCACAUUGCGCGACUCUAUCUUAGUCAUUCCUCCAUCAGGAUGCUUGCCAUACAUCACAUAGCUUUUCGAGCAAUCAGAAUAUCUAAUAAAUAUUUGUUUAUUUGCUCUAGGGCCUAACUUUCCAUAUUUAUGAAAAGUAUUAUGCACAUAUCCUGCCGAUCUCCAUGGUCGUAAGCCUUCCAAAUUUGGCUUUAUUCCAUGCCAUAACUCAUAGGGAGUUGAAGGAACUGACUUAGAGGGCACUCGGUUAAGUAUAUAGGCAGCAGUCAACAACGCAUCACCCCAAAAAUUAAUUGGGAGGUUGGCUUGCGCCAUCAUUGACCUAACCAUUUCCAAAAGUGUCCUAUUCCUCCUCUCUGCAACACCAUUUUGUUGCGGAGUACCGGGAAUAGUUAACUAUUUGCGUAUUCCCUUUUCCUCACAUAGUUCCCUGAACUGGUCUGAUAAAUACUCUCGUCCUCUAUCAGUACGUAGAACUUUUAGAGUUCUUUCUGUUUGGUUCUCAACCUCCACUAAGAAGCGUUUAAAAUAAUCUAAAGCUUCUGAACGGUGAGACAACAAAUAUACCGAACAAUAACGGGAGUAGUCAUCAAUGAAAGUGAGGAAAUAGUACGCGCCAUGGCGUGCUCUCACAUCAUAGGUCUGCAUAUGUCUGAAGGAACUAGCUCCAAUGGAUGAGUUACGUGCCUUACCAAAAGGCUUUCUGCAGGUUUUUCUUGCUAAACAUGGUUCACAAUGAGGUAGGCUAAGCUUAGCGAGUGACCCCAACAGGCCUUCUCUAGCUAGUCGAGCCAUUCUUUCUUGUCCAAUGUGACCCAAUCUCACAUGCCAUUUGAUAGAAUCAGAUACAAUAUCAGAAGAAACUAAUAAAGCAGAAUUAUUGUUAUGAUUAAUAAAAUCCAAGUCCAAAUCUAAGACAAAGAAAUCAUUCUUUAAACAACCAUUACCAUAAAAGUCCUUGCCCAAAUAAAUAUCUAAUUGAGUAUCCGUAAAUUGAAAAGAAAAACCUAAUCUAAGUAAAGCUGAAACUGACAGUAGAUUACAUCGGAUGUUCGAUGCAUACAGCACAUCAUGUAAUAUCAAAUAAUGACCAUUGCACAAUCUAAGUUGGUAUGCGCCAAUUCCAAAGACUUCUUCCUCAGUGCCGUUUCCCAUCAUGACAUAAUGGCUGCUAGCAGACACCUGACGAUAAUCCACAUAUCCUGCUCGAUCUCUCGUUACAUGCUUUGUUGCUCCUGUGUCUACAAUCCAAUCGAAGAGAGCGUGAGCAACAAAAGCGUGCGAGCAUACAUAAAUAAGAUAGUCAGAAUUGGAAUUUACCUUCUUCGGCUCAGUGCAAUCACAAGCGAAGUGUCCCAUAUUUCUACAGUUAUAGCAUUUCACUUUAUUUAAAUUUUUCUUUCCACGCCUGCCUUUGCGGCGCUUCUCAAUUCCGCCCUCAUUCGGCGCGCGAUUCCCAGUCUUUGCAUAUUUAUUUUCUCCAUUUCGGCACUUGUGCUUAGGCCACUUGCCUCUGCGCUGUCCACCGUGGGCAACGAGUGCAUUGGCACGGUUCGCCUCUCUACGCUCCGCUUUCAACUCAAGAUGUCGAGCUAUAUCGUUGAAGGUCUUGAUACUUUUAUUAUGAGUCAGCACAAUCUUGAUUUGAUCCCAAGAUGAAUCUGGUAAGGACCUUAUAAUUGAUUGAACCUGUUGUCCACCAGUGAGCUCACAAUCGGCUGCUUUAAAUGUCGGAUCGUUGGCGCUAACCAUUAAUCCCAAAAGCUCGAGCUGUUAAAAAUACGCAACCAAUUCAAUUAAAGCGUACAGAAACAGUGCCCACGGGUCUCGAUUGUGACUCGGCCCACCUGGCCUCACACCACUUCGAACAUGACUCGGCCCAACCCAGCCUCACGCCAUUUCGAACAUGACUNNNNNNNNNNNNNNNNNNNNNNNNNNNNNNNNNNNNNNNNNNNNNNNNNNNNNNNNNNNNNNNNNNNNNNNNNNNNNNNNNNNNNNNNNNNNNNNNNNNNNNNNNNNNNNNNNNNNNNNNNNNNNNNNNNNNNNNNNNNNNNNNNNNNNNNNNNNNNNNNNNNNNNNNNNNNNNNNNNNNNNNNNNNNNNNNNNNNNNNNNNNNNNNNNNNNNNNNNNNNNNNNNNNNNNNNNNNNNNNNNNNNNNNNNNNNNNNNNNNNNNNNNNNNNNNNNNNNNNNNNNNNNNNNNNNNNNNNNNNNNNNNNNNNNNNNNNNNNNNNNNNNNNNNNNNNNNNNNNNNNNNNNNNNNNNNNNNNNNNNNNNNNNNNNNNNNNNNNNNNNNNNNNNNNNNNNNNNNNNNNNNNNNNNNNNNNNNNNNNNNNNNNNNNNNNNNNNNNNNNNNNNNNNNNNNNNNNNNNNNNNNNNNNNNNNNNNNNNNNNNNNNNNNNNNNNNNNNNNNNNNNNNNNNNNNNNNNNNNNNNNNNNNNNNNNNNNNNNNNNNNNNNNNNNNNNNNNNNNNNNNNNNNNNNNNNNNNNNNNNNNNNNNNNNNNNNNNNNNNNNNNNNNNNNNNNNNNNNNNNNNNNNNNNNNNNNNNNNNNNNNNNNNNNNNNNNNNNNNNNNNNNNNNNNNNNNNNNNNNNNNNNNNNNNNNNNNNNNNNNNNNNNNNNNNNNNNNNNNNNNNNNNNNNNNNNNNNNNNNNNNNNNNNNNNNNNNNNNNNNNNNNNNNNNNNNNNNNNNNNNNNNNNNNNNNNNNNNNNNNNNNNNNNNNNNNNNNNNNNNNNNNNNNNNNNNNNNNNNNNNNNNNNNNNNNNNNNNNNNNNNNNNNNNNNNNNNNNNNNNNNNNNNNNNNNNNNNNNNNNNNNNNNNNNNNNNNNNNNNNNNNNNNNNNNNNNNNNNNNNNNNNNNNNNNNNNNNNNNNNNNNNNNNNNNNNNNNNNNNNNNNNNNNNNNNNNNNNNNNNNNNNNNNNNNNNNNNNNNNNNNNNNNNNNNNNNNNNNNNNNNNNNNNNNNNNNNNNNNNNNNNNNNNNNNNNNNNNNNNNNNNNNNNNNNNNNNNNNNNNNNNNNNNNNNNNNNNNNNNNNNNNNNNNNNNNNNNNNNNNNNNNNNNNNNNNNNNNNNNNNNNNNNNNNNNNNNNNNNNNNNNNNNNNNNNNNNNNNNNNNNNNNNNNNNNNNNNNNNNNNNNNNNNNNNNNNNNNNNNNNNNNNNNNNNNNNNNNNNNNNNNNNNNNNNNNNNNNNNNNNNNNNNNNNNNNNNNNNNNNNNNNNNNNNNNNNNNNNNNNNNNNNNNNNNNNNNNNNNNNNNNNNNNNNNNNNNNNNNNNNNNNNNNNNNNNNNNNNNNNNNNNNNNNNNNNNNNNNNNNNNNNNNNNNNNNNNNNNNNNNNNNNNNNNNNNNNNNNNNNNNNNNNNNNNNNNNNNNNNNNNNCCUCAGCCCCUGCCAGGGCGUACAAUUUGUGCGUACGUACCUCCACGUCCGAUCUCACGCGAUUCGAUACAUAAAAUGUCGCGCCUUUUGCGAAUUUUCCGAAUUGCCACCUUUGACCUCUUAACGAAAACUUCGCAAUUACCAGAGAUCCGUCAGUCGGAUUUUCGAUCCGACAGCACCAUUGCGUUCAGCACGUCGGGGGCAUCAAAACUACGAUCUUAUUUCGUCAGAUAUGGUCACGGAUUCGCAACGGAACCCAUCCGCUCUCUAAUUAAUCCAUAUAUCGCACAUAUACCAAUGUGUAAACCCAUUAAACCAACUUUCGCAUAAGAAAUUGACUUCCCUACCACUAGUAGGGACUCGAAACAUUCUUCACCCUACUCCAUGUCACAAGCACGGAGUACGAGAAGCUUUAGAAUGCACAGAAAAGCAAAGAGCGGAAACCCUCUUUCGGUAAAAAUCCUUUUUCUCGAAAAUCGUGCAUCAGAUCAGAAAUCCGUCAGUGCCAUUGGUUCCAGAAUAGCUGAACCGAUCGAAACGAGCUAUUGGAUCGCUAUGAACGGAGUCCGAUACGCGCCGAAAGCCAACUCUACUCCGUGGCUUCUCCGAAAAACCGGAGUUACUAUUCAUUUAAGUGGAAACUAAUAAUCGCGUAACUUCUCCAUUCUAGCUCAUAUUCUCCUGAAACUUGACGAGUGCUUAUGUAAUUAAAUUACACACAUAAACAUCAUCAACAGAGAGUUUAGUUGCAUUGUCAAAAUCUCAGUCCCUACACUCCCACUGACCAUAGGAUCACUCCCAUUGUUUUGGGCUAUUUCUUCAUGUGGCCUCAGUGCCUCAUUCUCGCCUAACAAUAGGACAUUUCCAUUAGGUUCUUGCAACUCGUAUAGUGCAAGAUCCUUUUUAAUCUCACUAAUGUCUGGAAAAUCAUUCUGAAGAAAAUCCACAUCGCGCGACUCUAUCUCAGUCAUUCCUCCAUCAGGAUGCUUGCCAUACAUCACAUAGCCUUUCGAGCAAUCAGAAUAUCUAAUAAAAAUUUGUUUAUUUGCUCUAGGGCCUAACUUUCCAUAUUUAUGGAAAGUAUUAUGCACAUACCCUGCCGAUCCCCAUGGUUGUAAGCCUUCCAAAUUUGGCUUUAUUCCAUGCCAUAACUCAUAGGGAGUUGAAGGAACUGACUUAGAGGGAACUCGGUUAAGUAUAUAGGCAGCAGUCAACAACGCAUCACUCCAAAAACUAAUUGGGAGGUUGGCUUGUGCCAUCAUUGACCUAACCAUUUCCAAAAUUGUCCUAUUUCUCUUCUCUGCAACACUAUUUUGUUGCGGAGUACCGGGAAUAGUUAACUAUUUGUGUAUUCCCUUUUCCUCACAUAGUUCCCUGAACUGGUCUGAUAAAUACUCUCGUCCUCUAUCAGUACGUAGAACUUUUAGAGUUCUUUCUGUUUGGUUCUCAACCUCCACUAAGAAGCGUUUAAAAUAAUCUAAAGCUUCUGAACGGUGAGACAACAGAUAUACCGAACUAUAACGGGAGUAGUCAUCAAUGAAAGUGAGGAAAUAGUACGCGCCAUGACGUGCUCUCAAAUUCAUAGGUCCGCAUAUGUCUGAAUGAACUAGCUCCAAUGGAUGAGUUGCUCUACGUGCCUUACCAAAAGGCUUUCUGCAGGCUUUUCCUGCUAAACAUGGUUCACAAGGAGGUAGGCUAAGCUUAGCGAGUGACCCCAAUAGGCCUUCUCUAGCUAGUCGAGCCAUUCUUUCUUGUCCAAUGUGACCCAAUCUCGCAUGCCCUUUGAUAGAAUCAGAUACAAUAUCAGAAGAAACUAAUAAAGCAGAAUUAUUGUUAUGAUUAAUAAAAUCCAAGUCCAAAUCUAAGAGAAAGAAAUCAAUUUUUAAACAACCAUUACCAUAAAAGUUCUUGCCCAAAUAAAUAUCUAACUGAGUAUCCGUAAAUUGGAAAGAAAAACCUAAUCUAAGUAAAGCUAAAACUGUGAGUAGAUUACAUCGGAUGUUCGGUGAAUACAGCACAUCAUGUAAUAUCAAAUAACGACCAUUGCGCAAUCUAUGUUGGUAUGCGCCAAUUCCAAGGACUUCUUCCUCAGUGCCGUUUCCCAUCAUGACAUAAUGGCUGCUAACAAACACCCGACGAUAAUCCACAUAUCCUGCUCGAUCUCUCGUUACAUGCUUUGUUGCUCCUGUGUCUACAAUCCAAUCAGAGAGAGCGUGAGCAACAAAAAUGUGCGAGCAUACAUAAAUAANACCAAUUCACUUAAAGCGUAUAGAAACAGCGUCCACGGGUCUCGAUUGUGACUCGGCCCACCUGGCCUCACGCCACUUCGAACAUGACUCGGCCCAACCCAGCCUCACGCCAUUUUGAACAUGACUCGGCCCACAUGGCCUCCCGCCACAGGGCAGGAUGCUGGCCCAUUUAAGCCAACAUUAAGUUCUCUUAUUAUAGCAGACAUCACCCUUAAGUGCUCUACCAUAGAAUGCUUCGGGUCCAACAAGUAUUGAUUGAAUUUGAGAUUCAAUGCACGAAGUCUUGUGGUCGAUGUGGCCCCAUAUUUCACUUUUAGCUGCUCCCACAUAUUUUUAGCAGUCUCAUAAUUCUGAAAUUCUUUAAUCAAAUCAUCGUGCAUACAGCUCAACAUUGUAUAGCGUGCACUUCGAUCUUUCUCAAGCCACUCGUUGUAGGCUUGCAAAUCGCGACGGUGUUGAGCCGUCGUGUACUGUUGGUUAAAUGACUAAGUAUUCCUUUCUCAUUAAGGAGAUAUUGAAUUUUCCUAUGCCACAUGUCAUAAUUCGUUCCAUCGAGCCGAUUUUGAUUUAACGAAUCCACGAUGGAACAAUUUUUGGAAGCUAUUUAUCACUACAAUAAUGCACAUAAUUUUAAAUUAGGCACAAAUAUCCACAAUAUUAUUCUCAAUCCAAUUUGAUUAUAAAAUUUCUCACUGCAUCUUUAAAUCGAAAAUUUCGCCUUUGAAAAGACUAAUAAUCAUCUCAUCCAAUGCAAAAAAAAUAAUAAAUCAAAUUAAUUAAGAAUAAAUCCACGUCACAAAUUAAAUGAUGAACAUUAUGCAAUCAUUAUGCAAUUUAAUCAAAAUAACACAUUGCAAUUUAUGAAGCAAUCAUAACUUAUAUAAGACAGCAAGAAAUAAUAUAUAAAAGUUAACAUGUAAAUUUUAAAGAAGCAAUAUUGAUCCUAGUGGUUUGAUGAAGUAGGCCUAAAGCUUAGGGUUGAGGUAGGGGUGUAAAACGGGCCGGGCGGCACGUGGCCCGCCCGGCCCGGCACGGCUGCGGGCCGGGCCGGCAGCACUCGGGCGAUGCUUGGCUAUUUUGAAGACGACGGCCGGCACGGGCGGCCGAAAGGGCUUGGGCCGUGCGCUGGGCGUAGGAGAAGGCCGUGGUCAGGCACGGCACGCCGCUUGGGCCGUGCAGCCGGCCCACGGCCCGAGAACCAGGCCAAGGCAAGUUGCUUGGCCUGGGGUUUUGCUCUCCUUGGGUGGAGUGCCUUGACUGUCCAAGGAUGAGCUCCUUCCCAAGGUCUGCCUAGGACCUUGGGGGUGAUUUUGGCAAUGGACAAGCAAUUUUGGUCAUUGGCCAAAACCUUCUCAACUUUUUUUUUUUUUCAAAAAAGAAGUCAAAUAUUUAAUAAAUUUAAAAUUAUUUUUUAUUAUUUUUAUAAUUUUAUUUUUUAAUCAAAAAUCUCGCUUUAUAUAAAUAUAUUUUUGUUUAUUUUUUUUAUAUUUAUGUAUAUUUUAAAAAAUAAAAGGGCGGCCGGAGCACAGGGCCGGCCUCGACGUGCCCUGUGCUUCGGCCAGGUGGCCGUGCUGGCCGGUGUAGGGUUCGGGCUGCCGGCCGCCCGGAUUAGCACGGGCCGGAGCACGGCAUCUAUCCGCCGUCGGCCGUGAAUGUGGGUCGUGACGGCCGGCAGGCACCACAUUACAGCCUAGGUUGAUGAGGUAGUUUCACAGCCUAUAGAACAUGGUUUUACCUGUUUUUAUUUUAGUUUGCGCCAUAAGAUUCCAUCGCGGUUGGACUUGGCCCUGUUGAUGCUAUAGACUAAUAAAACUCAUGGAUUUUAAUUCUUCAUGGGUUUUGUCUAAUAUGAAAUCUGCGAAUCCAGUAAUACAAAAAAAUUCAAGCUUAUUUUAAGCUGUUGGUAAAGAUAGAUUCCACCAGAUUUAUGUAUAAUAAUUAAUGGGGUCUAAGAUUGUUACAAUUUUCAAAUUCAAAGUUCAAAAUGUAAAAUAAAUUUUAAAAAUUUAAAUUAAAAUUCAAAUAUAAGAUUAAAAUUUAAAUUUAAAAUUAAAUAAUCUAAUUUAUUUUAUGUUUUAAAUUUGAAAUUUAAUUUGGAUUGUGAAAUUUAAAAUUUAAAUUUGAACUUUAAUUUUAAUUUAAGUUAUCAUUAACUUUAAAUUAAUUAAUAAUCUUAAUUAAAUUUAAUUUUAAAUUUAAUUUUUAAAUUUCCUAUUUAAAUUUAAAUUUAAUUUAGUUUAAUUUUAAUUUUUGGAAAAUUGAAAUUAACAAUUAAAAUUAAAUUAAUUUGUAACUUUUGAAUUUGAAAUUGAUUGACUUUUUGAAAUCGUUGAAUUUCAGUUCGAAAUUCAACUUUUUGAAUUUGAAAUUUCAGAGUUGAAUUUGAAUUUCAUAAGAUUGAAAUUUGAAAUUUAAUGUUGAACUUUUGAAUUCUGGAAUUUGAAUUUGAAAUUUGAAAUUUGAAAUUUGAGCAUGAAUUUAAAAUUUGAAAUUUGAAUUUGAAUAUUGAAUUUUGAAGGGAAAUUUCAAUUCAUUUAAAUCAAAAUGAAUUGAAUUUUAAUUUUAAUUUGAAUUUAAUUAAUGUUGAAAUUUUAAAUAGAAUUUAUAAUCUUUGGGAGCCCAAAUGUGGAAUUUUUUUUUUUGGUUAAGUGGUUAUAAGUUUACUCUAUUUUUUUGGAGUAUAGUUUAUAAACUAUACUCAAUUAGUUAUUUUUUUUUUUUCGUCCAAACACUUCAUAGGUAUUUUCCUAUCGGGCCGUAGCAUAGAUUAACUUGCUACGUUUUUGAGGGUAUCAAGUGUGUCCUUAAUUUGGUCUCGCGAAGAAAAGGUGUCUUUGCUUGCAUGCACGCCCAUCGCGGACGGGCUCCCGCAUGCCCGUAGGCCCAACUCGAGCGGGUCUUCCGCGAUGGGCUCCCGCAUUCCCGCAGGCCCAACAAGGGUGGGCCACCUAGUAAGCCCAGCGCGGGCGGCCUCGCAAGGCCGCCGGUCUUGCGCAUGCAGGCCGCUGCAGGCCUUGUGCAUGCGGGCUGCCGCAGGCCCUACACGGGCAGGUGCUGGAGGCCCAGCGCAGGUGGCCUCUCAAGCCUACAGGCAGGACGUAGAUCCUGCGCAUGCGACCCUCCGCAAGCCUGGCACGGGUUAGCCUCCAAAACCCAAAGCGGGCAGCAUGUCGGUUAAUUUGCAAAGAUCAAGGAAGCAAUCAUAUGUGAUGUUGACUUGCCAAUUGCGAAUCAAAACUUCACCAACAAUAAUUUUUAUAUUUUUUAACAACAUAAAAAUAUAUUCGAUGUUAAAAAAAACGAAUCAUCGAGUUAAAACAAGAACUACAUGGCUCUGAUACCACUGUUGGAUAAAAUUAAUUAAAUACCCAAAAAUCAAUCGUCGCAAAAAUCACAUAGAUUUUUACAUGCCUCUUUAUGGUGCGGAAUUAAUGUUGUGAUUAUCAGGAUCUGAUCUCGUCUUGUUUUACGAACUCGUUGAUCCGUCAACGUCCUGUCUCAAUUUGUUGCACGUUGUUCUUACUCGUUGCAAUCCGGCUACUAGAGUCGAUCGCCGCCCACCGCCCAAAUCCCUAGGGUUUAUGAUGGUGCCCUAGAGCGAACCCAAGAGAGAGAAUUUUUGUGGAGAGAUGAUUCUUCUUUUUUUUUUUGUUGUCUUUCUUCUGUCGUAUAUGGUCAAUACCUCAUGUAUUUAUAGGCCAUAAGGGAGACGUUAAUCUUAAUCAUAUUCUAACUAAAUCUCACAUAGUUAAAGAUUUAAACAGAUUAGGAUUUAUCUGUUAGAUUUAUUCUUUAUCCCAAAUGGACUAUAAAUAUAACAAAUAAUUAUAAAUAUUUAUUUCUUAUCCCAUAUAGAUUAGAAAUAUUUUAGAUAAGUCCCAAUGUGGACGAAUCCUAACACAAAUAAACAUAUCUAAAGUUGUAGAUCUAUUUUUAAGUUGCAAUAACAAAAAAAAAAAAAAAAUCAUACCUCGUUUGAGUGCGCGCGGGGUGUGGGUAGUUCGGGGCUAUUCGUACAGAGUGAGAAGGGCGGCGCAAGGGAGCGACGGGGGUGUGCGGUGAGGUUCGUGUUGGGGAGUAUAACAAAGAGAGAGAGCUCCGUCUAGACCAAGGUGUAGAGAGAGAGAGAGAGGGAGAGGAAGAAAAAUCUGAGCCUAGCUUGGUCUGGACCAAGGCGUAAAGAGAGAGAGAGAGAGGGAGAGGGAGAAAAAUCUCAGAGAUAGAGNUUCAUAGGAUUAUUUUCCUACCGGCGUAGCAUAGUUUAACUAUGCUACGUUUUUAGAGGUAUCCAAACGGGUCCUUAAUCUUGGUCCAAAAAACGGGUUGCUGGCAUGUGCUUGCAUGCAGGCCCAUCGCGGACGGGCUCCCGCAUGCCCGCAGGCCCAACUCGAGCGGGUCUUCCGCGAUGGGCUCCCGCAUUCCCGCAGGCCCAACAAGGGCGGGCCACCUAGUAAGCCCAGCGCGGGCGGCCUCGCAAGGCCGCUGGUCUUGCGCAUGCAGGCCGCCGCAGGCCUUGUGCAUGCGGGCUGCCGCAGGCCCUACACGGGCAGGUGCUGGAGGCCCAGCUCAGGCGGCCUCUCAAGCCUACAGGCAGGACGUAGAUCGUGUGCAUGCAACCCUCCGCAAGCCUGGCACGGGUUAGCCUCCAAAACCCAAAGCGGGCAGCAUGCGGGUUAAUUUGCAAAGAUGAAGGAAGCAAUCAUAUGUGAUGUUGAUUUGCCAAUUGCGAAUCAAAACUUCACCAACAAUAAUUUUUAUAUUUUUUAACAACAUAAAAAUAUAUUCGAUGUUAAAAAAAUGAAUCAUCGAGCGAAAACAAGAACUACAUGGCUCUGAUACCACUGUUGGAUAAAAUUAAUUAAAUACCCAAAAAUCAAUCGUCGCAAAAAUCACAUAGAUUUUUACAUACCUCUUUAUGAUGCGGAAUUAAUGUUGUAUAUAAUUAUCAGGAUCUAAUCUCGUCUUGUUUUACGAACUCGUUGAUCCACCAACGUCCUGUCUCAAUUUGUUGCACGUUGUUCUUACUCGUUGCAAUCCGGCUACUAGAGUCGAUCGCCGCCUACCGCCCAAAUCCCUAGGGUUUAUGAUGGUGCCCUAAAGCGAACCCAAGAGAGAGAAUUUUUGUGGAGAGAUGAUUCUUCUUUUUUUUUGUUGUCUUUCUUCUGUCGUAUAUGGUCAAUACCUCAUGUAUUUAUAGGCCAUAAGGGAGACGCUAAUCCUAAUCAUAUUCUAACUAAAUCUUACAUAGAUAAAGAUUUAAACAGAUUAUGAUUUAUCUGUUAGAUUUAUUCUUUAUCCCAAGUGGACUAGGAAUAUAACAGAUAAUUAUAAAUAUUUAUUUCUUAUCCCAUAUGGAUUAGAAAUGUUUUAGAUAAGUCCCAAUGUGGACGAAUCCUAACAGCCAUGAUCAUAUAACAUAUAGGGUGCGUUUGGUUCGAGUUAUCCUGGCAGGAUUACAGGCAAUCCUGCCAGGAUAACUGUGUUUGGUUAAUCCGCUAUGUAAUCUAGUCGUUAAUGUAGCAUUACAAAUCGAGCAGGAUUACAUCGAAAAUAUUAACGGGAGUGGGGUCGUGUAUCUUGCAUUACUGAAACCCGUUAAUACUACAUAUUAUAUAAAAUGACAAUUUCACCCUCCAACAACCCCAAAUCUAAUUAACAGCAUUAUUUUCAUCUCUCUCUCGUCUUCCCCCCUCUCUCUCGUAUGCCGCUUUCUCUCGCUCUCUCUCUCUCUCGACGUCUCUCUCUCUCUCUCUCUCUCUUUCUCUCUCUCUCUCUCGCAUGAACACCUAUCAUCUUCUAUUGCGUCGUCCUCCCAGGUAAUCAUCACGAUCUCCUUCCCUCCAUUCGUCAUUUCUGCAAAAAAUAAUAUUCAAAUGACCACAACAAGGGUAAUUUUGAAAAAAACUAUACUUUUAUGUCAGGAUUACUAAAUUUUAUUAACUGAACCAAACGUAUUAAUGCUAUAAGCACUGUAAUCUAGUAUUACAUUACUGCAUUAAACCAAACGCACUAAUACAGCAUCAGUAGUAAUCUGAUGCUAAAAUCUAAGAUACCUGGAUAUGUCGAGAUACUUUGUAAUAUUACAUAACUCGAACCAAACGGGCCCAUAGAGUUAUAUUGCCGUAGUUGUACAUGAUUUGAGAUGAGCAUGUUAGGGAUGGGUAGAUUCUCGGAUAUUGUCAUUCUUUUGUUGUAUAUUAUGAUGCAUGAGAGUUGCAUAAUGUCGGAUUCUAUGUUAUCUUGGGAUGAGUAAAUUGCAUGCUCUUGAAUGUGGAAUAGAACUUAAUAUUGCAAGUCAUAACAUUUCAUGUAUAAAAUUGGAUAUUGGUCGUUAAGAACCCUAGAUAUACAUGUGAACUAGUGGUGAGGCUAGAGUAUGGAUUUAGACAAACCUUGUGUAGCACUAGGUGUAUUGAUAGUUGUAGAACUUGAACCUAGUGACAAGAAUUGAGUGAAAUUUCAAGUGCGAAUGACGGUUUGAGUCAUUUGCAUGUAUAGCAUGACAACUAGCACCUUGUCAUUGGGAUUGAAAUAGAUCCCCAAAGGUUGCUAUUGGGAUUGAAAUAAAUCCCCAAAUAUUGUCACAAGGGUCAGUAGUGAGUUCUUUUGGUUGAGAGAACUAGAUCAUACUCGUAUAGUCUGUUACAGCUUGUGGAGGCCACGACUCCACAAGUAGUGAGUUCUAGAGUGUCACACGAAAAAAGCGGGCGAGGAUCACAGUAGAACCUCCCCAGCAAACAACCAUGGUGGUGGCUCGGGUGUGAAAGAUCUCCUCCCCACAUCGCCAGCCAAGGUGGUGGCUCGGGAGUGAAAGACCUCCCUACUUGGCGGUGUGAGUUGGGUUCGACCUUAGGAUGAGCUGGUAUGAUUGGAUCAUGAGGUAACAGAGGAAGAUAUCUGAGUAUAGUAAGUCUUGUUUUUGGCUACCUUGUGUAGUAUUGUUGUAGUGUCACAUGGUUGGUGACGGGUCGAUUAUGCCUCCUCAACAAACAGGCAAAGGUGGGUGAUUGGGUCGCGUAGCGCCUCCCCACAUGGCUGAGAGGGGUGAGUUGGGCUUGACCUUAUAGCAAGCUUCCUGAUUGGGUCAAGAAUAAGUAAAGGGUCAAGUUGAGCAUAUUGAGCCUUGGAACAUAUCUUUACUCGUAAAGGUAUAGUAGUGUUUAUUCCAAUUUAUGUAUAGUGUAGUUAUUUACUGCUUCUUGAUUUUUGUAUCUACUUAUACUUGAUUAGACAUAGUAGGAAAGUCGGUGAGGUUGGCAGCCGAACACAUUGGAAACUUCUUUUAAUUCUCACCCCUAUUUUGCAGAGCCAACUAUAAGCGAAGUGGCAUCAAACCGAGGCGUGGGUGUUGCGUCUUAGAUUGCAAGGUCACCAAGUGUAGGUUACCCAUGUUCAAGUAAAAGAAAAGAUUGUAAAGGUAUUUGGAACGAAAAUGUAAUUGCAAACAAAUAUUGUAUUUUAAGGAAAUGACAUGUACCAAAUGUUAUAUAUCUAAGUUGGAAAAUAUAUGUAUAAAUGUGAUUGUUCCAAUAUUGUAAUAGUUAGAUUUACAAACUCGCUCUUGUGAUAUGCCCUCAUACAGAACUGUGUUAUGUUGUUUUUUUGUGUGAAAUUCAAUAUAUUUAGUUUUGUUUACGCCUUGGACAGAUAAAAAGAAUUUUGUCUGUUCGGCGAGUUUGUGCACGUGCCUAUGUAGCCUCCACUGUGAAACAGGCAAGGCGUGACAAACUAAAAUAAAACACUGAAAAAUUUACACCCUGUUUGAUUGGGGGUUAAAAGGGGGAAUAAGGGGGUUAUCCUCUCCUUUAACCCCAAACAAAAAAUUUUGGGGGUGGGGUUAGCAACCCAGGAAUAGGGGUGGGAUUAAGUUAAACCCCUAUUCAAUUUUUUAAUAUAAAUAUAAAAUUUAAUUUUAAAAUUUAAAAUUUUAAAAAUUUAUAUAUUUAAAUUUUAGAAUUAAUAUUUUUUUUAAAUUUAAAAUUUAAAAUUAUUAUUUUUAAUUAUUUAAAUUUUAAAAUUGAUAUUUUAUAUUUGUAACUUUAAAUUUUUUAAUUUGAGAUUUAAAAAUAUAGAUAUUAAUUUUGAAUUUUAAAUUUUAAUUUUUAAAUUUUAAAUUAUUAUUUUUAAUUCUUUAAAUUUUAAAUUUGACAUUUUANUUGGAUAAGCAUAAAUUUCUUUUCUAUUUUAGAGAUAAAAAAAUUAAAUAAAUUUUUAAUUAAAAUAUAGAUUCACAGUAGGUAUCUUUCAGUUGGUAAAAAUUUGGAUAAGUAUAUUAUUUUUUCUAUUUUAGAGAUAAAUAGAAAUUAAAAGCUUAUUUCAUUACGUUAUUUAUUUUACGUAAGAAAAGAGAAUCAAUAUUUUUUUCCCGCCAAAAAAUGGGUCUGUCGACAGACCCAAAUUUGUAAUACGUGCUUUUAUAUAUAGUAUAGAUAGUCCGGUUACUAUACUAUCGAUAAUACAAGGCAUUUGGUGGUAUCGAGUUUUCCACCGUUAGAUCUACCCUUUUGACCAUUUUCACCUGUUAGAUCAUACUAUUCAACUAAACACCCACUCAACUCUAGAGGUCCACUAUCAUUCCAACCGGGGAUCAUUAUAAUCCUAACCACAUCACUACAACAGAAUUAGGUUAUAGCGACACAUUUCUGGGACACUUUUUUUGUAAGUGUCUCAUUUAUGCCAAAAUCUUUAAAAAAUUCUACUAAAGCAUAUAUAUAAAGCUCAAUCCAAAAAAAAGUAAAAUAUUACUUUACUCAACCCACCCCACCCAGCCCGUUUGUCCUGAUUACAAACAGAAAAGGAAAAAAAAGAAAAAAAGAAAAAUAGAUCACCAUCUUUCCUUCUCCCCUCACUCAAUCUAUUGAAACCCUAGAUGAUGAGCCCCUCGUUCUCCUCCUCCUCCGUGCCGCAGCCGACGAGGUAGGGUUCCGGCGGUUGCUAAAUUCUUUAAUAAGUGUUGAUAAAUUAGCAGUAUUCUUUUUAAGUUAUACCGUCACUCUUCAAGUGUCACUAUAUACCUAGCGACCCCAGAUAUAACAACACUUUAAAAAAUGUCGGUAAUUUAGCCAGCAACAUUUUUUAUGACUUAUGCUGACUUUUAAAAGUGUCGCUAUAAACCGUUUUUGUUGUAGUGACACUUCCCUUCAUCCAAGGGCCGAAACCUAAUAACACUAAGCGUUUGGUACUAUUAAUAGUAUAGUAGCCUAAUCUAUUUAUAUGUAAAUAAAUAAUAGCACCAAGAAUUUGGAAGUGUUGGUGCUACCAAGUUUUCCACCAUUAGAUGCACUUUGAUCAUUUUCACCUGUUAGAUUAUGCUAUUCCACCAACCACCCACUAAACUAUACUAGGAAACCACUAUCAUCCUAACAACACAAAUCUUAAUCUAAGGGCCGAAAACUUAAUAGCACUAAUGAUGUGGUGCUAUUGGAAACAUUCUAGCCUUAUAUAUAUAUAUAUAUAGCUAGGUUACUAUGUUUUCAAAAGUACAAAUUCUUGCAUACUUAAGUUGUUUUGUAUGAUGGGACAUUCGAUUUGACGAUCAGUUCAUUAGACAUGAUCUAUAGUGUUUGAACUAUCUAUAAACCAAAUUUAUAAUUUUUUUUAUGCUUUGUUUGCCUACAGAACAAGCAGUCUCAAAAUGAACGGUUGAAAAUAAAAAUGUCAUAAAAAACAGCGAUAAAAGAUAAAUUUCAAAUUGAAAGUAUUGAUCUUACUCUUGAUAGUGUGUAAAAUUUUUAAAAAAAGAUUUGGUCUCUAGAUCUUGAAUUUGAUAAUCGUAUGAUCAUUUUUUAAUAGAUUUUUAUUUUCAGACAUUCAUUUUUGGCUAAAUUACAAAAAAUCCCCUGUCAAAACCCGCUUUUUCACUUCCCCCCCCAUCAUUUAAAAACCUACACUUUGCCCCCUUGUAAAAUAAAAAAUGUGCACUUCACCCCCUACCGUUAGGGUUCCGUUAUAAUAUUUUUUUUAUACAAAAAAUAUCCCAUCGCUGUUGCUUCGAUGGCUUCCGGGACGGCGCCCUCGCCGGCCUCGCUCUCCUCCACGAGCUCAACCUCCUCUUUGACCGCCCCCUCGAUGCCAUCUUCCUCAACUCCAACCGCCUCCGCCGCCGCCACCCCAUCCCCGCCAACCUCGGCGACUCCCCGGCCCCAUCGUCGUCCUCGCCCACAACAAACUCGGCGGCUGCAUCCCGCCCUCCAUCGGCCGCAUGGCCUGUUAGUUAUAUGCCCUAUAAGCCAAUCUUGUCAUAACUUAAAGGGUUAAUAUCAGUGUACUUUUCUUUUAUGAUUAAAUCUGGCAUUCUUCAUUUAUAUUACUGCCAAAUGCAUAUUUAUGAAUCGUCCAUAGAAUUAAUAGUAGAAGAAUUAAAUUUCUAAGAAGUUAGAAAUUUGACACNUAAAUUUGAGAUUUAAAAAUAUAGAUUUUAAUUUAAAUUUUAAAUUUUAAAUUAUUAUUUUUAAUUAUUUAAAUUUUAAAUUUAAAUUUAAAUAUAAUAAUUGGGGCAAAAUUAUUAUUUUCUAUUUAUAAUAACCCACUAUUUUUCUUAUAUAUCCCACCUACUCCAACCAAACACUAUUUUAUUUAUAUCUGGACUAAACUCAAUUCUCAAUCAAACACAAAAUUACUCUAACCACACCUUAACCCUGAACUUAACUCUAUUCCCGGAAUAACUAGUUAUUACUUAACCCCGAACCAAACGAAGUCAUAGGGACUUAAAAAAAAUCCUUAUUUAAAGGGAUGGGUCUUGAAUGUUGGAAUCACAAGUUUGAGGACCAAUGAAACUUGACUCAAAAAUGUUCGGAGACUAAUAGGGCAUCUUUCUCGAUGUAUUAAAGUUGAAAUAUAUGAAGACCCCUCAUCUAUAGGACAUUCUGAAAUUGCGCCCUCAACUUUAAUAUUUUUGAUUGGGACCCACUCGACUUCUAUUUUUUUGGAGUUAUUAUCUCAUACACCAGCAAAAGUACAUUUCAUGAAGUUAAUUUAAGAAAAUAGAGUACAGGAGCCUCAUAUAAACCAGUAAGUUCUAAAACCACAUAAUAAAAAAUCAUGUGAUAUAACCAAAUUGGAUGCUAUCCUAAAAUCUAUACAUAGUCUAAUAACUUGUUAAGAUUUUAGAACCAUCUUUUAAGUACACAUUUGGCUGCGCAUUUUGCGCGCAGUUUAGUGUGCAAACCUAUGUGUGGAACUCUUUAAUUAUGAAGAUGCAAACUAAACCCAAUGUUAAGUUCCUGGGAACUAUGUAGAUCUGAGAUGGGCCUGCAUUAAUUGGAUUUUGGACCCAAUAUAUAGAAGCAGUUUCCUCAGUUAGCUAUACAAGGUAGAUGCAUUGUUGCGCGUUAUUAACAAACAGUAUUUUUUCGCUCAUUCAAUUUUUUUGCUCAGUAAUAUCGUGAAUUUGAUUCUCACCUUCAAUUAGUGGGAAAGAGUAAGAUGCCGUCCAAAUAUAGUCCUGAAAUGUCUUUAUUGUUUCAACUUCAAAGAUACAAUGCAUGUGGAAUGAUUAGAGAUUCACGAGCAAUUUUGAUACGAAGAGCCACACCAUAUCCAAUGAUUAGACCUUCGCAAAUGAAGCCAUUAAGUAUUAUUGUGUGUUGCAGAAUUAUUUGGCCUAGCUAGGAUGGUCGGAGCAUUUAAAAAAAAUUGUUUUUUUUUGCAAAACUACUAGUAAAUUUUUAUGAAAUAACAUUUAUAACAGUAAUUGUCUAAUAGUAAUGAAUAUUUUCAGGUUACCUCGUAAAUAAUUAAUUAUUUUUCAGCACGGAGUAGCAGCUCAAAAAACCAAAAGAUAUUUACUAGCUUAGUUUUGCGUGAGAAAUAUUAUACACACUACAUAGUAUCGUCACAAUCAUUUUUCUUCAUUUUUUUUCGGUUUAUUAUUAUGUUUUUUUAUCUUACCCGCAUAUGUAUUAAACCGAAGAUUAAGAAUACAAACCUUAAAUUUAGGCCCAUAUAGUGACUUGAAUCCCUAAAAGUGCUUAAUUUCGUGAAAAAUAUUUUGUUUCGUAAUAAUUAUACAGUAUGAAAUGUACCUUAAACCAAUUAAUUCCAUUCUAUCCCAUGGAUAGCAAGGUAUCUAAUUAAGAACAAUCUAAUUUUUUAUAUUAAAUUAAUGUGUAAAAUUUUUUGCUUUUUUACUUUAAAAUAACUUGAAAAUCUUUGAUUGAUUAUUGUUAUUUCUAUAUAAAAUAAUUGUGUUAGACUGAUCGUUUCUAACACAAGCGGUAAAAGACUUAAUGAUUGGUAUUCGAGAAUCCAGAUUCGAAAAUAUCUCGAUUCGAAACUUAAUUAGCAGCUUUAUAUUUUCAGCUAAGUUUAUUUAUUUUAAAAAAAUUUAAUAGAUAUCCAAAUAGGCUCUUACUAUCGUGCAACUUUAGAUUCUUGGCUCUAGUAUAAAAUUUUCAAUGCAAACGGGGGCUCAAACUUCCGAUCUGAAAGUCGGCACUGAGUUAUGUGAUUACCAAUGGUGUGGUGGGUCCGCUGCAUCUGGGGAAGGAAAUUUGUUUGGACUUGCAGUCGUCAGUCAUCACCCACCCUUUUCUUUUUGGGACGUCGGCAGGUGUGUCCUUAUCCAAGAACAGGCAGAGAGGACAGACAUAGAUCAGAGCCAGAAGACCCAACACAUACAUGCUAGCUACCCUGGGCCCCAUUUAGGCCCGAUUACCCAAUUAAAUCAAUCUAUCUACAGUUUAGGGGCCCACAUCAUGCCUGACCCAUGCAUUUGGUGGGCCAGGUAUUUUCACUUGCACGGUCAACGCCAACUUCUGCGCACCUUACACAUUCUGCGGCCUAAUUCGCAAUGCUGUAGAGUACAGUAUUGUUUAAUUUUUUAUAAAAGUGCAAGUAUACUUUGACCUUAUUGUCAUUUUUUUAAAAUUUUUUAAAGUAAUUUUUCUUUUAUUUAUUGAAAUAUUAUGGAAGUGGAUGGGAGAUUGAUCGCAAUACUUGCAUUUAAGGUGUUGUUUUACUUUUAUUAUUUUGUUUUCUUAAAAGAAGUUGCCAACAAACCAUGACAAAAUGUAGGUGGAGAAAUCACAGAUUGACGCGUGAUGUAGUUCGAUGUCCCGCGAUGUGCCGACGGAAUCUGACUUUGUCUAAAGUGCGGACCGGAGAGGGAACGACUCGGACGGGUUUAAUUCCCGAGAGAUGGUCUCGAGAUCUUCACAUACGAGUCAAAGGCCUAAUGAGGUUUCGGUUUUCAAGCUUCGGUUGCUGCUAGUCCGGGCCGAAAUUUGAUGGAAGAGGACUAUCGUACAAUGGCGAUCCUCAAAAAGAAGAAAACCACACGGUUGGAGAUAUGCGCGUGAAAAUGGGUUCAUCGGUGAGGAUGAUGUGGUCCGGCAAGGUACAAGAUGGUUGUCGUAGGUGGUCACCGUCGAGCGAGAUGGUGGACAAAAGUGGUGGCGGCACAGUUAAUGGUACUUCUAUAUUUAGAUUACAACUACUUCUAGUGUGAAGAAGUAAAAUUUAAUUAGGGUUUCUUGUAAUGAGUUUUGGAUCUUUUCCUUGUAAAUGUCCUUUUUCUUUUUAUUGGAGUACAUCAUCACAAUUACUGGAGUGGUUCCCACAAUUUGUUUUCAAUGAUGCGGCUUCCAAAUCGACAAUCGACUUUGUUAGACUUGAUCUACACUAUUGCAAAUAUUUGGAAACUAAAUUUCAGAAUUUUUCGACAUCAUUUGGCUAGUGAUCAAAAGGUCUCAAAAUUGACAAUUUUAAUGAUAGAUGUGAUGUAUUUGUAAAUUUAACGAUGUAAAACAAUCCAAAUCAGAUAAAAUUUUUAUAGAAAAUUCUUUUUACUAUUUAGAGUAAGAUCAAUACCUCUGANAUAAAAAAAAAAAAAAUUUCGCUGCAUUAAAUGCACAUGUAGAUGCAUACAUUUCCUUAUAUGGCCGACACCCUCAACGAGAUCGUCAUCCUCGACGACGGCCUCGCCGCUUGCGUCCCGCCCGAGGUCGGCCUCCUCUGCCGCGGAUGAGGAGGAUGAAGGAGAAGACAAAAAUGGCGAAGGGCAAAAUGGUCAUUUUGUUAUACCGUUACCCCCUGUGAACAGUUUUAUUUUACAUGGGGGCAAAGUGUAGGUUUUUAAAUGACAGGGGGGAAAGUGAAAAAGCGGGUUUUGACAGGGAGGUUUUCCGUAAUUUAGCCUUCAUUUUUAUAUCCAUUUAAUGCAUAAGAGAAAAAUAUUAAAAAUAUAUGAAAUUUGAUUUCUAGAUAAUAUAAAUAGCCUAAAUUAUGUUCAACAAUAUAAUCAUUUAUUUGCAAACUUUAUAAUUAAAAAUAAAUUAGUAAUAAAUUGAACUGUUUGCUACGAAUAGUAGCCCUGCAAAGCUCUUGAUAUAUGGACAUUUUCUUAUGUUUGUUUCACAUGAUCACGUUGCUUUUGAAUGGAGACUCAGACGUGGCAAUAGCUAAAUUAGGGAUGCAAACGGGGCGGAUCCGGGGGCGGGAGAGUUCCCCCACCUCCCGCUCCAUUUCUUAUCGGGGCGGGGCGGAUUCGGGGUGGGUUACUUNUUUUCGAUGUUGCUACUUUCGAAUCGUCGAUCGGCUCCGUUAAAUUUGAUCUAGAGUAUUUGAAGUACCUAGAAAAUAAAUUUUAUGAUUUUACGAUAUCAUUUGCCUAGUGAACGAAGGGGCUCAAAAUCAACGGCUGAAAAUAAAAAUCUUACAAAUUGUAAUAAUAUGACAUUAAAAUUUUAAAUCUAAGAUAUUGAUCUUGUUUUAUAUAGUAUAAAGAAUUUUCUAUCAAAAUUUCAUAUGAUUUGGAUAUUUCUACACUGUUAAACUUGUAAACGACUCACUACGGCCAUUGAAAUUUGUUGAUUUUGAGCCCAUUCGAUUACUAGGCAAAUAAUAUCGAAAAAUAAUAAAAUUUAUUUUCUAGAUACUCCAAAUACUCUAGAUCAAGUUUAAUAGAGCCGAUCGACGAUUCGAAAGUCGCAACAUCGAAAACGAGCUGGAAACACGGAAGGCUCCGUGCUUCCAAUAGCAUAGUAGCCUCACUCAUAUAUAUAUAUAGGGUCCGGCUACUAUACUAUUAUGAGUACGAUCGCUCUCGUACUCAUAAGUUGUUUUCGAUGAUAGAGUUUCUGAAUCGACGAUCCACACCGUUAAACAUUAUUUACAGCAUUUAAAACUUCUAGAAAUCAAAUUUUAUAAUUUUUCGACAUCAUUUACCUUACGAUCAAGAGGUCACAAAUUUGACAAAUUUUAACGGCCGGUAUGGGAUACUUGCUAGUUUAACGGUGUAAAAGAAUCGGAAUUUGUUGAAUUUUUGAUAGAAAAUUCUAUUCACUACAUAUAUAAAGAUCAAUAACUCCGAUCUUGAAUUGAAGGAUCCGAUCAUCCUUUUUUAGGAUGUCGUUCGAUUUUGACCGGUCAUUUUAUGCCGACUUGAUGAACUUUAUUAUGA
rnacentral:lncRNA from 1 species